rnacentral:lncRNA from 1 species
GACUUACACUUAGUCACAUUGCUUGCAAGGCUUGUGUGUGAUGUUGUAUUACCGAGUGGGCCCCGAGAUACCUCUUCGUCACACGGAGUGACAAAUCCCAGUCUUGAUCCAUACUAACGCAAAGGACACCUUCGGAGAUACCUGUAGAACACCUUUAUAGUCACCCAGUUACGUUGUGACAUUUGAUGCACACAAGGUAUUCCUCCGGUGCCAGUGAGUUAUAUGAUCUCAUGGUCAUAGGAAUAAAUACUUGACACGCAGAAAACAGUAGCAAUAAAAUGACACGAUCAAUAUGCUACGUUCAUAGUUUGGGUGUAGUCCAUCACAUGAUUCUCCCAAUGAUGUGAUCCAGUUAUCAAGCAACAACACUUGCACAUAGUCAAAAAACUGUGACUAUCCUUGAUCAACUAGCUAGCCAACUAGAGGCUUGUUAGGGACAUUGUUUUUUCUAUGUAUCCACACAUGUAUCUAUGUUUUCAUUCAAUACAAUUAUAGCAUGGAUAAUAAACAAUUAUAUUUAAACAGGAAAUAUAAUAAUAACUAUGUAUCAUUGCCUCUAGGGCAUAUUUCCAACAGCUUACACCGGGAGGAAGCUUCAAGUCAUAAAUCGGUGUGUUUGGAUCUUCGUACCAGAGGUCGAUGAAGUCCAGCAAUACCUUUGGGUCCAUUGCAAGAGGAAUGGAGCUGUUGGAGGCUUGUGCAACAUGUUCUUGUUUGUUUCUGAUAAUUGCUUGUAGUGUUUCAUCAUCAAAUUCUUCACUUCCUUCUGAUGCAGAAGGAACGUUGAUGAUUUUGUUUGGACUUGGCCUUGUACCUCUACCGGCAGUCAUCUUAUUCUUCAAAAGACUUGGUGAAGACUUUGAGGCAGAGCGAGCAGCGGAUGGCACAAUGGAACUAGGUUGUUCAGAUUGAAUUUUAUUGAGCUGCUUUUGCGGAGGAGGUGCGGACUAUUUUGUAGUUAAUGAUUUUGUAGUUGGUGCAACUUUCUGAGGUAAUUGUUGUUUUGACACAGCAGUUGAAGCUUCUAAUCUCUUUAUCAGAGUCUUCUUCUAAGGAAUUGCAGUAGCAGAAGCCUCAACAGCUGAAGAAGUGGCAGCAGUGGCUGCAGCAGGAGAAUCCUCAUUGAAUUUCUUUACAACUGCUUCUGCCUUUUUCUGCAACUUAGACAAGUAUUUGUCUUUCUCAUCAGGAUAAUCCUCAAUCAAGGCUACACUUGAGGGAUGAGCUGCUUGUUGAUCACCUUGUGGAGGCCUUUUGCAGGGUGGCUUGAGGUCGAACUUCUUUGCAUAUUUCAGAGUCACAUAUCUGUACUCCUUCCACUCUUUAGCCCACCCGCGCUCAAUCUUUUGAGCCUUAUUUUGCGCUUCGCCAUUGUCUCUUUAUGAUGUAUUUCUUCAUCAGGUAUACAGUAGUCAGCAUAUAUUUCUUCAGGGAUCUCAAAAGCAGUAUUCUGCUCCAGUUUCUUGCCACCUUUUUGUUUCCGAUCUUCUUCCAUUUUCUUCAACCGAGGUUUUUGCUAAGGAAUUUGAAUUCUUGAUGAUUCUGAAGACACAAGUAAAGUUUCUUCGAGAAAUGCCGCAAAUGAGUUAAGUUGAUGAUAACCUAGAGAUUCAUCAGCUGGCAUUUUGUACCUGUGAACAGAGUAUAGGUGCGAAGAAUUUGGAGAGGUCAUAUGUGUUCUCAGAUUUGAGGAAAUUGAAAAAAUUUAAAAGUUGAGGAAUUUGAUGAGUGAGUUGAGGAAUUUGACUAAGCAUUCCGAUCUUGGCUUCCAGAGGUGUGCAGAUUCGAAAAUUUACACAAUUGAGGAUUCUCGUGAAGAAUUUUAGUUACUUAGUGAAAUUCAUCUAGUGUUCUAGGCAGGAGUGUGCACAGCUGAGGAAAUUUCUGAGGAAAAACAGAUUUCACGAAUCUACCGUGAAAUAAAAGAUGAACAGGGGCAGUAAAAUAAGAUUUUAUUUACCCUGUGCGAAGAACACAAUGAACUGAGGGAGUAAAAAGAAGUUCUUCGGUUCAGAUCUUCAGUGCCCUUACUUGGCGACUGAAAACAGCUAUGGCAGCGGCGGAGCAAGAUAUUCCGCUGUCGGCGUGAGUCCCGCGACGGUGAGGGCGAGGUAGUGAAACUUUUCCUCACCGGCGGCGAAGAUGUUAGCGGCAGCGCUAGGGUUCGAGCUCGAGCGGAGAAGACGAGAGGGGAAGAAGAGUUUUGACUGAGGGGGGGGGUUAAGGGGCUACUUAUAGCUCAGGUGAAAAACUGUUCGGGCCAAAACUGUUUGCCCCUUCAUCUCCGCUUGACACGUGGUGUCCACGAUUGAGGAGGUGUAGAUCCUGGUUAUGCGAACGUGAGUAGUGGGUGCGGUUACUAUUACAACGGUUAAAAAAUGAAUUUUGAGGAUUUCGUUUCAAAGUCCUCAGCUGACCAUGACUCAGUGAGUAUUUUGAACAAGUGUCAAACAGAACACAUAUGAAGAAUUGAGAAUAGACUUGAUUGAGCUUAGCAUAGAGCAGAGUCGGGUCCGAUCACAUUCACUUAGAUGAAAUAUCAAAUUGAGGAUUGAGCUAUAAGCGAAUGCUGUUGAGGACUUGAAAGCUAAUUAUAUUGUAUAUAUACCGAAAUGAAAAUCAUCAAAAAAAAUUGAAGAAUUUGAAAAUUUUGAAGAUUUUGAAAAUUUUAGGAUUUUGUGACAAAGUCUCAGAUUGUAUACUUUCAACUUUGAAGAAAAGCGAGCUUGAAUAAUUUCAAAGUUGGGUGGUGGCGCGACCCACCGUAUAAAAAUGAUGAUUUCAGGCGCCGCGUACAAUUGUCGUAGGGCCCUGAGAACCAAAUUCUUCAUUGAUUUGUUCACACUUAGAGUGAUUUUCGUCAUUGGUUGAGGAAAAUUGUUACUUUGUGUGUUGCACAACUAAGUCAUCAAUUUCUCAUAAGUGUUAGGAUGUGUGCAGGUUUACAAGACAUUCGAAGAUUAUAGGAUAUUUAGCUCACACCGCAACUUGCAAAACCUUCUCUCAUCCAAGGGCUUUGUGAAAAUAUCUACUAGUUGAUCAUCAGUAUUCACAUGGUCGAUGAUGAUAUUGCCUUUGAGGACAUGAUCAUGAAGAAAAUGAUGACGGGUUUGGAUGUGCUUGGUCUUCGAGUGUUGUACAGGGUUGUAGGUGAUCUUGAUUGCAGUCUCAUUGUCGCAGUAGAGGGGCACAUUCUUCACGUUGAUCCUGUAGUCUCUGAGGGUUUGCUUCAUCCGUAGCAGUUGAGCACAACAAGAUCCAGCAACAAUGUACUCAGCUUCGAUAGUGGAAAGUGAUACACAGUUCUGCUUCUUUGAGGACCAGCAAACUAAUGAUCUUCUGAGGAAAUGGCAUGUGCCUGAUGUUGACUUGCGAUCCACAUGGUCACCAACAUAAUCAGAAUCAGAAUAUCCGACGAGGUGAAGAUUUGAGACCUUGGGGUACCAUAAUCCUAGUGUUCGUGUGUGAGCUAAGUAUCGAAGAAUAUGUUUCACAGCCUUAUGAUGUGAUUCCUUCAGUUUUGCUUGAAAACGAGCACACAUGCAAACACUAAGCAUAAUAUCUGCCUAGAUGCACAUAGGUACAAUAAAGAGCGAAUCAUAGAACGAUAUACCUGCUAAUCGAAAUCUUUACCAUUUUCGUCAGUGCAGAGGUGGUCGUUGGUAGGCAUAGGAGUCUUGACGCCUUUGCAUUCAUGCAUGUAAAAUUUCCUCAGAACAUCCUUGAGGUAUUUCUCAUGAGAUAUGAAGAUGCCAUUGCGUUGUUGACAAAUUUGCAGACCUAAGAAGAAUUUCAGCUCCUCCAUCAUACACAUUUGAUAUUCUACACUCAUCAUGUAGGCAAAUUCAUCACUAUAACGUUUGUCCGUACAACCAAAAAUAAUGUCGUCGACAUAUAUUUGGCACACAAAUAGUUCAUUAUCAUAGGAUUUUGUGAAAAGAGUAGGAUCAAGUGAACCAGGUUUGAAGCAUUUCUUCAUGAGGAAUUCCUUCAGUGUGUCAUACCACGCCCGAGGGGCUUGCUUGAGGCCAUAGAGUACCUUUUUGAGUCUGAAGACUUUGUCUGGAUGCUUUGGAUCUUCAAAACGUGUAGGCUCGGCAACAUAUACUUAUUCCCCAAGCUUACCAUUGAGGAAUGCACUUUUCACAUCCAUUUGAUAUAGACUUAUAUUGUGAUGAUUAGCAUAAGCAAGUAAUAUUCGAAUAGCUUCAAGUCUAGCAACAUGUGAAAAAGUUUCAUCGAAGUCAAUUCCUUCAACCUAUGUGUAGCCUUGGGCUACAAGCCGUGCCUUAUUCCUCACUACCUGACCAUCCUCAUCUUGCUUGUUUUGGUACAUCCACUUUGCGCCGAUGAUAUUGUGCUUGCGAGGAUCUGGUCAUUUCAACUGAAGAAGUUCAUCUAGCUUGAACUGAAGAAGUUCAUCUUGCAUGGCUUGAAUCCACUCAGGUUCCAUGAAGGCUUCAUCAACUUUUGAGGGUUCUGUGAUAGACACAAAUGAGGAACACCCACAAAGUUUAACUAAAUGUGAAGCUUUUGAGCGAGUGAGAGGACCUGGCACAUUAAUGUCAUCGAGGAUUUUGUCAAGUUCUACUUCAUUAGCAAUCCUCGGAUGAGCUGGUUGAUGACUUUGGUUGAGCUGCGGAAUUUGAUUUGUAGCAUUUUCCUGGGGUGCACCAGUUUCAUUUUUCUCAGUGUUGGGGAUGAUUUGUUCAACAACGGGUUGUUCCUCAGUAGGAAUGAUAUCUUCAGUUGCCUUGAGCUUGAUGGCUUCCUCGGGAGGUAAUUUAUCUGGCACAGGAGGCAGUUGCUCUCUUUGCGAGCCAUUAGUUUCAUCGAACCGCACAUCAACAGUUGCAACAACCUUCUUGUGAUGGGUGUUGAAGACUCUGUAGGUGUGCGACUCCUUUCCGUAACCAAGCAUAAAACCCUCAUCUGCCUUAGGUGCAAACUUUGAGCUAUGGUGAGGAUCUCUAAUCCAGCAUUUUGCACCGAAGACUUUGAAAUAACUUACAUUGGGUUUCUUGUCAGUGAGAAGUUCAUAUGAGGUUUUCUUGAGGAAUUUGUGAAGAUAUACUCUGUUGAUGAUGUCGCAAGCAGUGUUGAUUGCUUCAGGCCAGAAACAACGAGGAGUCUGGUAUUCUUCAAGCAUAGUCCAAGCCAUUUCAACCACAGUCUUGUUCUUGCAUUCAACGACGCCAUUCUGUUGAGGAGUAUAAGGAGCAGAUAAUUCGUGAGUAAUACCAAGUUCAUCAACAUAUUCAUCAAGACUAGUGUUUUUGAAUUCUGUCCCACUAUCACUCCUGAUGUGUUCGAUCUUGACGCCGAAGUUCGUCGAGGCCCUUGAGGAAAAUCGUCUGAAGACUUCGUGCACUUCAGUUUUAUAUAGAAUGAAGCGUACCCAAGUAUAGCGAGAAUAGUCAUCAACAAUGAUAAAGCCAUAUAAAGAUGUUGCAUUGGUUAGAGUAGCAUAAUGAGUAGGUCCAAACAUAUCCAUGUGAAGCAAUUAAAACGGACGAGUAGUAGUCAUGAUAGUCUUCGAGGGGUGUUUGGAUCUGGUUAUUUUUCCAGACUUACAAGCACCGCAGAGACGGUCCUUGAGGAAUUUGACGGAUUUGAUGCCAAUGACAUGUUUCUUCUUCGCCAAGGUGUGCAAAUUCCUCAUGCCUGCAUGACCCAGACGUCGAUGCCAUAGCCAGCCUUCUAAGGUUUUUUCUAGUAAGCAUGUGGCUGGUUGUGGACAUGUGGAAAAUCAACAAUGUGCAAUUCUCCUCUCCUAAAGCCUUCGGAGACAUUGGAUUUGUCAGAUUCCAUGAUGACUACGCAUCUAUAUUUUCCAAAGAUAACUACCGUAUCAAGAUCACAAAGCAUUGAGACUGACAUGAUGUUAAACCCAAGGGAUUCGACAAGCAUGACUUUGUCCAUGUGCCUGUCCUUGGAGAUAGCCACUUUUCCAAGUCCCAAUACCUUGCUUUUACGUUUAUCAAUAUAAGUGAUUUGCUUCAGUGGUGAUGGAGUCACUGGCAUAUUCAUCAAUAAGCUUUUAUCACCAGUCAUGUGGUUUGUGCAACCACUGUCAAGAACCCACUCUGUAUUCUUGGAUUUCUCAUCCUACAGAUGAAUUAGUACAACUUACCAUCUCAUAUGCUUUAGACUUGAAGAAUAUGAUACCAAUUUCAUCAGAUAAGAAUUUUAUCAUCAACAGUAAAUUUGAGGACGUGUGAAAUGUUAUCAUUUCAUCAAGUUUAGCUUGCGUCCAAUCAAGCAUUUUCCUCAGGUCUCCAGCAAAUUCUUCAAAUGAUGACUUUCAUCUGGAGACGUGACGUGCAAAAGUGAUUAGUUCAAUUUCUUCACCACCCACAUCUGAAGGGGUGGCAAAGAGUUCAUCAUCCUACGAUUACCCUAUGAAAAUGAACGCAUUGAAACUAAAGUGCUUAUUUUCAAAGUAAGGGGAUUAGAGUACUCAAAUGAAUAGGCAGAGAAAUUAUUUGAGGACUUAUGAACAUAGUGUUUUGAGGAAUAACACUCAUAUUAAUCUCGACUGUAAUUUCUAUGCAUACCAGAUGCAUCAGCACGAGUAUAAGCAUAGUAUUGACCAUUUGAGGAUUUUAAUCCUCGUGAAGACUUUGGUCCACCUGAGGAAAUUGAUGUGGGUUUCUGGUUCUUCACAGGUGGUGCCAUGAGGAAAUUCACAAGAAGAUUUUCUAAGAAACUUGUGAGAACCGAGAUUUUCCUCAGGAGUGGUCCAUUCCUGCAGUUAGUUCCAACAUAUUGAGCAUAUACUUCACCAGAUUGAUUUUUGAACAGUUUAUAGUUGGAGUCAAAUGACUCAUCUGAGGAAUAGCAUAAUUCGCAUGCAAAGCCUGUUAAAGUGGAAGGAUCGACGGGAGGACCUUUAGCAACAACCCGUGAGGUUUUGGGGUACUGCUCAGGUUUCAAGUAUGAUCCAUCAGCAUUGAUUUUCCUCUCAAAGGCAAUUCCUUCUUUCCUCGGGUUCCUGUUCAAAAUCUGCUUUUUGAGCACAUCGCAAAGGGUUUGAUGCCCUUUGAGACUUUUGUAUAUGCCUGUCACAUACAAUUCCUUCAGCCCUGCAUUUUCGUUAGUAGCAUUUGUGGUUUCUUAAAGUGAAUAAUUUGAUACCACAGGGAUAGUUGAAGAAUUUGUAGCAAUAGACGCCUUUGAUGAUUCUGGUGAGGAAUUAGUAGUUUCACGCUCGAUGCAUUUCAAACAUGGUGGAAUGAAUUCAUCCCGAGCUGUACUGAUCUGUUGAGCAAGCAAUGAAUCGUUUUCCAUUCGAAGAUCAUCAUGAGACAUUUUCAACUUCUCAAGAUCAAGUUUCCUUUGAAGAAAUUCAUAGGAAAGUUUCUCAUGAUCAGCUAAAAGUGUGCCAUAACGAUCUUGAAGACUAUCAAACCUAGACUGAAGACUUUUCACAUCUUCAGUGAGGACUUGAGUACGAUUCAUUUCAUCAUUCAACAGAUCAUCGCUUCUGUCUAGCAGUUUUUGAAGCUUUUCAAUGGCACUUUGUUGCUUAGUGGCAAUGUUGGCAACUUUAGAGUAACUGGGUUUUUGAUAAUCAUAUGAUUCACACUCACUAGAAUGAGAGGAGGAAGUAUGGUCUGGUACCUUUGAACCUUUUGCCAUGAAGCAAUAGGUUGGAGCAAGGUCAUCAUCAUUUUCAUUAGUGUAGAUAGCGUUGUCAUUUUCUUCAAGGUUGAAGAUUGACUUGCUGACAAAGGUGGUAGCUAAUGCAAGACUUUCCACACCAGACUCCAAAUCCUCUUCAGAACCUUCCUCUUCAUCACAUUCCUCAGAUUCUUCUUCUGAAUCUAUUUCCUUCCCAAUGAGUGCCCGGGCCUUUCUAAAACCGGUCUUCUUGUGUGAUGAGGACUUUGAGGAUGAGGACUUUGAAGAUUUCUUUUUUUUCUUCGAGUCAUCAGAAUUUUCAUCCUUGUAUUUCUUCUUCUUUGAUUCCUUCACGCAGCAAGGACAAUCAGCAAUGUAGUGACUAGAUUUCUUGCAUUUGUGGCAGGUUCUUUUCUUGUAAUCCUCAGAUGAAGAUUCUGAUUUCCUCAUAUCUCUUCUUGAAGAUUUACCGAACUGCCAUGCCUUGUGAACUUCUGGAAUUUCCUCAUGAGCACAGAAAGUUCUUGUCCCAGUUCCUCAGGGUCACCAAUGCUAUAAUCUGAGUCUUCUUCUUCAUGUGAGGAAAUAGCCUUAGCCUUUAGUGCACGAGGUCUUGAGUAGCUUGGUCUAUAGAGUUCUCUCUUUUCUUCUUGUUGAAAUUCAUGAGUAUUGAGUCUCUCGAGUAUAUCAGCAGGAUCAAGCAUUUUGUAGUCUCUUCGUUCUUGAAUCAUCAGAACUAGUGUGUCAAAUGAUGGAUCAAGAGAUCUUAGCAGUUUCCUCAGAACGUCAUGGUCAGUGAUGUCUCUAGCUCACAAUGCUUGCAGUUCAUUUGAGAUGUCAGUGAGGCGGUCAAAGGUAUCUUGGCAGCUUUCUUUGUCAAGCCUCUUGAAGCAAUUGAAGAGAUUUCGAAGAACAUCAACAUGAGAAUCACGCUAUGUUGAGACUCCCUCAUUGACUUUGGACAACCUAUCCCAGAUAAGCUUAGCUAUGCCCAAAGCACCCACUCUGCCAUACUGACCUAUGCUCAGAUGGCCACAUACGAUAUUCUUCGCUUGUGAAUCAAGUUGCUUGAAUUUCUUCACAUCAGCGGCGGAGAUAGUAGCAGCGAUGGAGGGAAUACCACUUUCCACAAUAUACGAGAGAUCAUUGUCAAUAGCGUGAAGAUGCAUCUGCAUCUUGGUCUUCUACUAGGAAAGUCCUUUCCCUCGAAGGUAGGACAUCCUGUAGUAACCUUGAUCAUACCUGCAGUCGACAUAACUAAAACUCCAGGUGGUUAAACCAAAAUCACACAAAACAAGGGGGGGUGAAUAUGCGAUUUUGAGAAUUUCAUCACUCAGGAAAUUCCUUGUGAGGAAGUCCUCAACGAUGAACUUAGUGCAGCAGAAAUAGCACAAGAUCAGGAGUGCAAAAACGACUGCAGCAAAGUACUCGAUGAAGUUUAUGAGAUUCGUUUUGCACAGUUCGCAAGUACACAGUACGCAGGUGAAGAUUAACUCAAGUGAAGAAGUUGAGGUUGGGGAAAUUCACAGAAAGUCUCCAGACAGAUUAUUCAAACAACACAGAUGAAAGUCUUCAACAUACAAUUUGAGGAAAUGAAAGAGUUGAAGAAAUAGAACCCGUAGCCUGAUGAAGACAGUUGUUGAUUGAUACGUCUCCGUCGUAUCUACUUUUACGAACUCUUUUGCCCUUGUUUUGGACUCUAAUUUGCAUGAUUUGAAUGGAACUAACCCGUACUGACGUUGUUUCUCAGCAGAAUUGCCAUGGUGUUGUUUUUGUGCAGAAAUAAAAGUUUUCGGAAUGUCCUGAAAAUUUACGGAGAUUUUUUCUGGAAUAAAAUAAAAAUACCUACGCAAAGAUCCACGUGAGGGGGUGUGCCAGUGGGCCACAAGCCCACAGGCCGCGGCCACCCCCUAGGGCCGCGCCAUGCAGGCUUGUGGGGCCCACGUGGCACCACCGCCCCAAUCUCAGUUCUAUAUCUUCCGUUUCGCCUGGAAAGAAAUCGGAGAGAAGGUUACAUCGCGUUCUGCGAUACGGAGGUGCGCCACAUCGUGUUCUUCAUCUGGAGGGCAGAUCUGGAGUCCGUUUCGGGCUCCGGAGAGGGGAAAUCGUCGCCAUCGUCACCAUCAACCUUUCUCCAUCGACAAUUCCAUGAUGCUCUUCAUCCUUCGUGAGUAAUCUCAUCGUAGGCUUGCUGGACGGCGAUGAGUUGGAUGAGAUCUAUCAUGUAAUCGAGUUAGUUCUUGACGGGGAUUGAUCCCUAGUAUCCACUAUGUUCUUGAUUGAUGUUGCUACUACUUGGCUAUGCUUAAUGCCUAUCACUAGGGCCCGAGUGCCAUGAUUUCAGAUCUGAACCUAUUAUGUUGUCGCCAAUAUAUGUGUGUUUUAGAUCCUAUCUUGCAAGUUGUAGUCGCCUACUAUGUGUUAUGACCCGGCAACCCCGGAGUGACAAUAGCCGAAACCACUCCUGGAGAUGACCAUAGUAUGAGGAGUUCAUGUAUUCACAACGUGUUAAUGCGUUGGUCCGGUUCUUUAUUAAAAGGAGAACCUUAAUAUCCCGUAGUUUCCAUUAGGACCCCACUGCCACGGGAGGGAUGUACAAUAGAUGUCAUGGAAGUUCUUUUCCCUAAGAACGUAUGACUACAUACGGAAUACAUGCCUACAUUAGAUUGGUGAACGGGAGCUAGCCACAUAUCUCUCCGUGUUAAAGCUAUUACAUGAUGAAUCACAUCCGUCACACUCAUCCAUCACCGAUCCACUGCCUACGAGUCUUUUACUACUGUUCCUCGCUACGUUACUUUGCCUAGGCUUGUCCCUUGCUACAAGAGGGAUUGGCCCACUUUGCUGCUGCUCUCACAUUGAUGUUGUUGCUACUGCUGUUACUUGUUACUUUGCUGCUGCUGCUACUACUGUUCGUUGCUACUCCGCUGUUACUUGUUGCAAGACUUUGUUGGCGCUAACAUCCCGUCAACAAGGCUUUUUCUGGCGCUGUUGCUGGGAAUUGCCAAAUCUUUUUCUGGUGUCGUUGCUAUCAUACCACCUUGCUACUGAUACUUUGCUUGCAGACACUAAUCUUUCAGGUGUGGUUGAAUUGAUAAGUCAGCUGCUAAUACUUGAGAAUAUUCUUUAGCUUCCCCUUCUGAGCGUAUCAAUAAAUUUGGGUUGAAUACUCUAGCCUCGAAAACUGUUGCGAUCCCAUACGCUUGUGGGACAUCAUUGAUGACCCAAUUCCAACUGCUGUGACAGUUGUACGUCUGGUUCGGAGCGUCUUGGUAUUGAAACCAAAGGACACACAAUCCUGGGACACACGGUCCCUACCGUAUUCUCCUUGAUCUAAGGACACACAGUCCUCGCCAAACACUCAUGGUAAGUCUUCAGGGCAGGCUUCCAAACCCUCACAAACUCGGUCACCCGGCGAUCCACAGUUGACUGCUGGAUGCUCUAGACGAUGACGUCUAACCGCCUGGAGGAUGCAUAGUUCUCAAAGGUAACAGUUUCAGUUCCACACAUAAACAACUUCUUCGGUGAUGCUCAAUCACUUGGUUUUUGGUUUGGGGUUUGGUGUUUGGGGUAUUUCCUCACUUGAAGAUUUUCUCUUGAAGACUCUGAGGAAUUUGGGUUGCUCUAAAUGACAAGUGUAAGUAUCUCUCAGAGCAGCCAACCAGCAAGUGGUUGUGGGGGCGCUAUUUAUAGCCUUGGAGCAUCCCAACAUGAUUUCACAUAAAUGCCCUGAUACAUCUCCGUCGUAUCUACUUUUACGAACUCUUUUGCCCUUGUUUUGGACUCUAAUUUGCAUGAUUUGAAUGGAACUAACCCGGACUGACGCUGUUUUCAGCAGAAUUGCCAUGGUGUUGUUUUUGUGCAGAAAUAAAAGUUCUUAGAAUGUCCUGAAAAUUUACGGAGAUUUUUUCUGGAAUAAAAGAAAAAUACAUGCGCAAAGAUCCAUCGGAGGGGGCAUGCCAGUGGGCCACAAGCCCACACGCCGCGGCCACCCCCCUAGGCAGCGCCGUGCGGGCUUGUGCGGCCCACGUGGCACCACCGCCCCCAAACUCAGCUCUAUUUAUUUUGUCUCGCCCGGAAAAAAAUUAGAGAGAAGGUUUCAUCGCGUUUUGCGAUACGGAGGCGCCGCCACAUCCUGUUCUUCAUCUGGAGGGCACAUCUGGAGUCCAUUUCGGGCUCCGGAGAGGGGAAAUCGUUGCAUCGUCAUCAUCAACCUUUCUCCAUCGACAAUUCCAUGAUGCUCUUCAUCGUUCGUGAGAAAUCUCAUCGUAGGCUUGUUGGACGGUGAUGAGUUGGAUGAGAUCUAUCAUGUAGUUGAGUUAGUUCUUGACGGGGAUUGAUCCCUAGUAUCCACUAUGUUCUAGAUUGAUGUUGCUACUACUUGGAUAUGCUUAAUGCUUGUCACUAGGGCCCGAGUGCCAUGAUUUCAGAUAUGAACCUAUUAUGUUGUUGCCAAUAUAUGUGUGUUUUAAAUCCUAUCUUGCAAGUUGUAGUCACCUACUAUGUGUUAUGACCCGGCAACCCCGGAGUGACAAUAGCCGGAACCACUCUCGGAGAUGACCAUAGUAUGAGGAGUUCAUGUAUUCACCAAGUGUUAAUGCGUUGGUCUGGUUCUUUAUUAAAAGGAGAACCUUAAUAUACCGUAGUUUCCAUUAGGACCUCGCUGCCACGGGAGGGAUGGACAAUAGAUGUCAUGCAAGUUAUUUUCCCUAAGCACGUAUGACUACGUACGGAAUACAUGCCUACAUUAGGUUGGUGAACGGGAGCUAGUCACAUAUCUCUCCGUGUUAUAGCUGUUACAUGAUGAAUCAUAUCCGUCUCACUCAUCCAUCACCAAUCCACUGCCUACUAGUCUUUUACUACUGGUCCUCGCUAUGUUACUUUGUCUAGGCUUGUCCCUUGCUACAAAAGGGAUUGGGCUACUUUAGUGCUACUGCUGCUACUCUUGUCACUUUGCUUCUACUGUUGCUACUGUUGUUACUUUGCUGCUGCUGCUAGUGUUGUUCCUUGCUACUUCGCUGUUACUCAUUGCAGGAUCUUUUCCGACACUGUUGUCGAGGAAGAAUAGUUGCUCGUCAACGUACCUUUUUCUGGCGCCAUUGAUACAACAGUUAGGAAUAGUCUGCCGUCAACAGAUCAUUUCUGGCACCAUUGCUAUCAUACUACUUUGCUACUGAUACUUUGCUUGCAGACACUAAUCUUUCAGGUGUGGUUGAAUCUGACACACUCAGCAGCUAAUACUUGAGAAUAUUCUUUCGCUUCUCCUUAGCGACCAACAAAUUUGGGUUGAAUACUCUACCCUCGAAAACUGUUGUGAUCCCAUACGCUUGUGGGUUGUCAAGGCCUUUUCUGGCGCCGUUGCCGGAGAAGCACAACUAUAUUCUCUGAGUCACUUGGGAUUGACGUGUGCUGAUCACUAUGAGGAAUCCGAAAGAUCCAAGAACUAAAAUCCUGCCUUCCACUACGAGGAGAGGUAAGGAACUACCAUCUAUCUCUGCACUUGAUUCACCUUCAGUUUUGAGUAAGUUUGCGACAUCACCUCCUACUAGAAAUCUUGAUAUGUCGCAUGUGCUUGAUGAUGCUACUUCUGCUGCCCAUCAUGCUUAUGAUGAUGCUAUGCUUGAUACUAUGCCUGAUGAUGCUAUGCUAUAUACUAUGCCUGAUGAUGCUAUGCUAUAUACUAUGCCUGAUGAUGCCAUGCUUGAUAUUAUGCCUGAUGAUGCUAUGCCUGAUACUGCUUUGCCACUUGGUGCCCUUGAUGCACAACUUGCUAGAAUUGCUGCUAGGUGUGAUGAUACUUCUGAAACUGCUGAUACUAUUGAAGUAGACCCUGCUACUAUGCCUGAAUUGCCUGUUAUGCCUGAUACGUGCUAUGUUAUGGAGGGAGAGAUAGCUGAGGACUUUCUUGCGUGUAAGGAUAGAUAUGAUGUUGAGAAACUUCUGCGCAAGUGGAAAGAAAAAUCUCUGAACGCUAGGAUGAAAUACGACCCGAAGUUUGCCACUUCACCUAUAUUUGUGACCGAUAAGGAUUAUGAAUUCUCUGUCGACCCUGAGUUGAUCACUCUGGUCGAAUCUGAUCCCUUUCACGGUUACGAGUCUCAAACGGUGGUAGCCCAUCUUACCAAACUGCACGAUAUAGCCACCCUAUUUACUAGUGAGGAAAAGAUCCGCCACUACUAUAUGCUCAAGCUGUUUCCUUUCUUGCUAAAGGAUGAUGCUAAGACCUGGUUCACUUCUCUUGCUCCUGGUUGUGUGUGUAGCCCCCAGGAUAUGGUCUACUACUUCUCUGAAAAAUAUUUCCCUGCCCAUAAGAAGCAAGCUGCCUUGCAGGAAAUAUACAAUUUUGCUCAAGCUGAAGAAGAGAGUCUCCCACAAGCUUGGGGGAGGCUUAUCCAGCUACUGAAUGCUUUGCCUGAUCACCCUCUUGAGAAGAAUGAAAUACUUGAUAUCUUCUAUAAUGGACUUACCGAUGCUUCCAAAGACCACUUAGAUAGUUGUGCCGGUAGUGUUUUUAGGGAACGAAUUGUAGAACAAGUUGAGAUUCUGUUGAACAACAUCUUAUGCAAUGAGAAUGCUUGGACUAUUCCCGAACCACCUCCUAAGCCAACUCCGAAGAAAAGAGGUAUUCUAUUCCUCAGUCCUGAAGAUAUGCAAGAAGCCAAGAAAUGUAUGCGAGAGAAAGGCCUUAAAUCUGAAGAUGUCAAACAUCUACCACCUAUCGAAGAUAUCCAUGGUCUCGAUAACCCGAUACAGGUAGUAGAAGUAAAUUCUCUGCGUAGGUUUGAUGAGAGUGAUAUUCCUUUUGAUAAACCUGCUAGCUUAUGCAUGGAUGAAUUUGAUAACUUCGUUGUCAAAAAACAGAGUUUCAAUGAUUAUGUUAGCAGACAAUUGGAAAAGAAUGCUCGUAUGCUUAGUCAUUUAAGUGCUUGUGUGGACAGAAACGUCAACGAUCUUAAGCUUCUGAGUAAACAUGCUUCUAUGGUUACUACUCAGGUAGAACAAGUACUUAAACCUCAAAAUGACUUGCUCAAUGAGUUGAACGACAAUUCCGUCAGAGUCGUUACUAGAGGCGGUAGAAUGACCCAUGAACCUUUGUAUCCUGAGGGUCAUCCGAAGAGAGUUGAACAAGAUUCUCAAGGAGUUAGCACUCAUGCACCUAGUCAUCCUAGAAAGAAGAAGAAAGAUGAUAAGAACCUGCACGCUAGCAACCCUAUUGCUACUACACCUGAGAGUUCAAACGACGUCUGUGUCUCUGAUGCUGAAACACAAUUUGGUGAUGAACAUGAGCCUUAUGAUAAUAUCAAUAGUAAUGUUCAUGAAGAUGCUCAACCUAGCAAUGAUAAGGAUGUGGAGAUUGAACCUGAUCUUGAUAACACACAGCCUAAGAAUAGAAGAUACGAUAAGAAUGACUUCACUGCUAGGAAGCACGGUAAAGAAAGGGAGCCAUGGGUUCAGAAACCUAUGCCCUUUCCUCCCAAACCAUCCAAGAAAAAGGAUGAUGAGGAUUUUGAGCGCUUCGUUGAAAUGAUCAGACCUGUCUUUCUGCAAAUGCGUUUGACGGAUAUGCUCAAAAUGUCUCCGUAUGCUAAGUACAUGAAAGAUAUUGUGACUAAUAAGAGGAGGAUACCUGAUAUUGAGAUUUCCACCAUGCUCGCUAGUUAUACCUUCAAGGGUGGAACUCCCAAGAAACUAGGUGAUCCCAGUGUGCCCACUAUACCUUGCUCCAUUAAAGGUAACUACGUUAGAACUGCUUUAUGCGACCAUGGAGCCGGUGUUAGUGUUAUGCUUCUCUCUCUUUAUCAUAGACUUGAACUGGAUAAGUUGACACCCACUGAAAUCUCUCUGCAAAUGGCCGACAAAUCAACUGCUUUCCCUAUCGGCAUUUGCGAGGAUGUGCCUGUUGUGGUUGAUAACACAACUAUCUUAAUAGACUUUGUUAUCUUGGAUAUUCCCGAGGACGAUGCCAUGGCUGUCAUCCUUGGAAGACCCUUUUUUAACAAUGCAGGGGAUGUUAUAGAUUGCAACAAAGGCAAUGUCACUUUCCAUGUCAAUGGUAAUGAGCAUACGGUGCACUUUUCGAAGAAACAAUAUCGAGUACAUUGCAUCAAUGCUAUCGAAAAAACUUCAUCGAUUCUUAUUGGGAGCUUUGAAUGCCCUAUUCCUCAUGUCAAGAUGAAGUAUGACUUGCUUGUUGGGGAGAUACACAUCCCCAUUGAGGUGACCUAGUGACUAUUCGAAAAUUCUCUGUCUUCUUUUGCGAUUCGAGAAAGUUUUGUCGAGGAGACUUGAUCAACCCCAUUGACGGAUUUCUUUCGAUGACCAUGAGAUGGAUGAAUCAACGAGUCACAAACCUCUGUUCCAAGCUUUCACUUUAGGUUGCUUAGAAGAAAAAUGAUAGGUUUAGUUUAGUUUUCCCUGUUUUCUGCUUUUAGUGUCCGGUAGAAAAGUACCCCGAAAAUCAAAGUUCUCCGAACGGUGUGUAAAUCAAGUAUGAUUUUUUCUGGAUUUUUUGAAAAAUACUGGGACAAAGACUCUGUCUGGGGGCCACACCGGUGGGCCACAAUCCCUAGGGUUGCGGGCACCCCCCUAGCCGUGCCACCCAGGCUUGUGGGGCCCACAGGCACCCCCUCCACUCAUUCUUGCUCUCAUCUGGUUCUCCUACCUCCAGAAAAAAUUGUUUCGCAGCUCAAAUCCGUGUUCUUGCUCCUCUUGGUGGGAUUUUUGAUCUCUUUGCUCAAAUCACCGUUCUCCGAACUGUUUUGGGGAANNNNNNNNNNNNNNNNNNNNNNNNNNNNNNNNNNNNNNNNNNNNNNNNNNNNNNNNNNNNNNNNNNNNNNNNNNNNNNNNNNNNNNNNNNNNNNNNNNNNNNNNNNNNNNNNNNNNNNNNNNNNNNNNNNNNNNNNNNNNNNNNNNNNNNNNNNNNNNNNNNNNNNNNNNNNNNNNNNNNNNNNNNNNNNNNNNNNNNNNNNNNNNNNNNNNNNNNNNNNNNNNNNNNNNNNNNNNNNNNNNNNNNNNNNNNNNNNNNNNNNNNNNNNNNNNNNNNNNNNNNNNNNNNNNNNNNNNNNNNNNNNCCGAACUGUUUUGGGGAAUUACUCCUUGGUAAGUGACUCCUCCAUUGGUCCAAUUAGUUUUUGCUCUAGUGCCUUGUACUCCGUGUAUUUUUGCUGCCUUGGUGACCAUGUUCUUGAGCUUUGCAUGCUGAUUCUAGUUGGUCCCAAGUAGUUUUGAUGCGUAAUAUGGUCUCUGGGCACUUGUUGGAGUAGUUGCGACAAGUUUCGUUGAGCCUUAUUCACUUUUCCUUAGAAUCACUAAAAAAUUCAGAAAUUUUCAGAGAUAGAAAAGGGAAAGAUGAGGAGGUUCUUAAGAGGCUCGUCAAGCCGUGACCCCAAGGAUGAUGGGAGUGAGAAGAAGCCCAAGUAUUUGGUCCCUCGAGUCGCGGAAGUUUGAGCGUGCGAGUGGCCAAGCGACGUGUUCUUACGCAUCGCUGGAAUUUAUGAGGACUUUUAUCAUUUGGUGGGGAAUGCAGGCCUUACCGCUUUCGUUGAAGAUAAGUGUCCGCAAAACCUCCUCCUCACUAAUAUCUUCGUACAAAGCUUUAACUUCUAUCCGAGGAAGAAUCCUCCUAUGGUUGAGUUCAAACUUUAUGAUAUCCCCCAGCGCAUGUCACUCCAGGAUUUUUGCAAUGUUUGCAAAUUGCCUUACGUUGGGGAUAUUCAUGAACCUCGUCCACGGGACGUGGAAGCUUUCAUCGGUACUAUUGUUGUAGGAGAGGAGAGAGGAGUGUCUUGCGCUAGAGCUGCUAGCAUACAUUUUCCCGUGCUUCGGUACUUCUCACUAUUUGUGGGAAAAUGUUUGAUUGGUCAUGGGAAAGCUGGGUCACUUAGUUCCCCAGAUCUUGUGGUCUUGCACGAAGCCCUUUAUAACGAUAAAACUUAUAGCUUGGGCGCUAUAGUAGCUCAACGGUUGAACCUGAACCGUUCUAAGGGUGUUGUCUAUGGAGGUAUCUACGCUACUCUUCUUGCUAGACACUUUGAGAUACCUAUUAGACUGGAGGAGGAAGAAGAGAUUCUUCUUCCCGAGAGAUAUCUAGAUUAUGAUAGCAUGGUUCGCCAUGACUUUCUUGAUAGUGAUAUAAGUAGAAGGAUGAUUUAUAACCUGGUGUUUAGUCAGGGUACUCGUGAGACUAUUACUUUGCCUGCUCCUUCUUUGUUCAAUCUUCAUGCAGGAAGGUACACUAUUAUGCCCUCGGACAUCUAUGCAUAUUGGGGCUUAGCCCAACGACAGGUGCCUGUGCCUGAGCCGCCAGUCGAGUACCAGACGCCAGUUUAUCAGUGGGAGCCAGAGGAGCUCACAUAGCAGUGGCAUCCUCAGUCCACUCCGGAGUACCCCGGAGCUGGUUAUUUCCCUCCACGGGAGUAGACCAAGUUAGGCCAAAAGCCUAAGCUUGGGAGAGUACGUGUUCUCACCGACUUUACAUUCUUGUUUAUGCUUUCACUUUGUUAGCCGGUGUUCACACUUUGCCACUUUAUCAUCCAUGCUAGUUUAUUUUCUUUUUCUCGUUUUCUUUUCGUGUGUCUGUCUAGUUUGAGAAAACCCAAAAAGAUUUUCUUUUUCUUCUUUUUCUUGUUGGGAGCUUUCCCGUGUAGAUAGUUUUCUUUUUCUUUGGGUCAAGGUAGAAGAUAUUGGUUACACUGUUUAGUGGCUCUUGCAUGCAUACCUGUUUAGCUUUCAAAGAGCCAUAUUACUUUGUCUUCUCCUUUGUGUUUGCCUGCAGAUUCCAGCUUUAGUCCAAUGCACGAGCACGCUUAUUAUUGUUCACAUCGUUCGGUCGUGCAAGUGAAAGGCAAUAAUGACGAUAUAUGACGAAGUGACUGAGCCUGGAAAAGCUGGUAUGAACUCGAUCUAUUUUGUUUUUGUAAAUAUGACUAGCUCACUAUUCCUAGUUCAGCUUUGUUGUGAGGGAAACAUGUUUGCAAUGACAACUUAGAUAUCAUAGUUGCUUGUGCCAUGCUUAUUUAACUAGGAGCUUAUAAUGGUUUGUCUUGGUUGCCCACAUGAAUGUUGAGAUGACUAUGAUGUAGUAUGAUAGGAUGGUAUUCUCCUUUGAAUGUUUCAAGUGGCUUGACUUGGCGCAUGUUCACGCAUGUAGUAGAAACAAAAUCAACAUAGCCUCUAUGAUGUUCAUGUUCAUGGUGAUUUAUGUCCUACUCAUGCUUGCAUUCAAUGUUAGUUACUCUCAAUGCAUUUUGAUGACUGUUGUCGCUCUCUAGUUGGUCGGUCUUUUGCUAGCCUUCACUUGUACUACGCGGGAAUAAUGCUUGUGCAUCCACUUCCAUAAAACAAAAGUUGUGCCAUAUGAGUCCACCAUACCUACCUAUGUGCGGUAUCUACCAGCCGUUCCAAGUAAAUUUGCAUGUGCAAUUCUCUAAAUCUUCAAGAAAUAAUCUAUUUUGCAUGCCCGAACCGCUCAUGUGGUGACAGGGGGCUAUUAGUAUCUUCCAUGCUAGGAGUGUUAUCCUUGAUAUGUGUUUAUUCACUAUCAUUCACGAGAAAGGGGCCGGUAAUUGGAAUUCCCAAUUCCAUGCUCAAAUUGAAAAGAUAAUUGCAAACAAAACUCCCCCAGGAUUGUUGUUGGUAUGGACGGUACCCCAGGAUUCGGCUAUCCAUGGAGUGUGAUUGAUUGGUGGUGGGGGAGUCAAAACUUUACUUUUCUGUUUGGGAACCGCCUAUAGCAUGUGUAGCGUGGAAGAUGUUGAGAACUCUUAGUCAUUGCAUUGACAAAGAAAGCAUGCCACCCAAAAUUAUUAUCUCUGUUUUCAAAGUUUGAGCUCUGGCUCCUUUGCAAAUCAAUGCUUCCUUCUGCGAAGGGCCUGUCUAUUUAUGUUCCUGUGGAUUCAUCCUCCUCUUACAAAAGCACCAAUUAGAGAGCACCUCUGUCAUUUUUAUGCUUUCCUUUUAACUGUGUUGAGUAUGACUAUGACUGGAUCUUCAUUGCCUUGAAUUACAAUGUUUAGUCAGCCCUUGGUCUUUGAAGGUGCUCUGCAUUUAUGUUUUGCGGUCUCACAAAUAGCUAGCGAGAUACCAUCUAUUCGUACUGCUUCAUGUUGUUUUGAUUGAAGUGUUGACAUUUGAGGCUUAUUAUUAUUUGCUCGCUAGUUGAUUAUGCCAUUGAUAUGAGUUUACCGUGAGACCUAGAUGUCAUUUGCUUAUGUGGUUUGCUUGUGAUCUUGCUGAAACUCUGGUUAUGAGUUAGACAUAGUGGCAACAACAAGAUCAAACAGAGUUCGUCAAAGUUUUUCUUUUGUCUCUUUGAGUUUGUCAACUAAAUUGCCUGAGGACAAGCAAGGCUUUAAGCUUGGGGGAGUUGAUACGUCUCCGUCGUAUCUACUUUUCCGAACUCUUUUGCCCUAGUUUUGGACUCUAAUUUGCAUGAUUUGAAAGGAACUAACCCGGACUGACGCUGUUUUCAGCAGAAUUACCAUGGUGUUGUUUUUGUGCAGAAAUAAAAGUUCUCGGAAUGUCCUGAAAAUUUACGGAGAUGUUUUCUGGAAUAAAAGAAAAAUACCUGCAUAAAGAUCCACCGGAGGGGGCGUGCCAGUGGGCCACAAGCCCACAGGCCGCGGCCAACCCCCUAGGUCGCGUCAUGAAGGCUUGUGGGGCCCACAUGGCACCACCGCCCCCAAACUCAGCUCUAUUUAUUCUGUCUCGCCCGGAAAAAAUCAAAGAGAAGGUUUCAUCGUGUUUUGCGAUACGGAGGCGCCGCCACAUCCUGUUCUUCAUGUGGAGGGCAGAUCUGGAGUCCGUUUCGGCCUUCGGAGAGGGGAAAUCGUCGCCAUCGUCAUCAUCAACUUUCUCCAUCAACAAUUCCAUGAUGCUCUUCAUCGUUCGUCAGAAAUCUCAUCGUAGGCUUGCUGGACGGUGAUGAGUUGGAUGAGAUCUAUCAUCUAAUCGAGUUAGUUCUUGACGGGGAUUGAUCCCAAGUAUCCACUAUGUUCUAGAUUGAUGUUGCUACUACUUGGCUAUGCUUAAUGCUUGUCACUAGGGCCCAAGUGCCAUGAUUUCAGAUCUGAACCUAUUAUGUUGUCGCCAAUAUAUGUGUGUUUUAGAUCCUAUCUUGCAAGUUGUAGUCACCUACUACGUGUUAUGACCCGGCAACCCUGGAGUGACAAUAGCCAGAACCACUCCCGGAGAUGACCAUAGUAUGAGGAGUUCAUGUAUUCACCAAGUGUUAAUGUGUUGGCCCGAUUCUUUAUUAAAAGGAGAACCUUAAUAUCUUGUAGUUUCUAUUAGGACCCCGCUGCCACGGGAGGGAUGGACAAUAGAUGUCAUGCAAGUUCUUUUCUCUAAGAACAUAUGACUACAUACGGAAUACAUGCCUACAUUAGAUUGAUGAACGGGAGCUAGUCACAUAUCUCUCCGUGUUAUAGCUGUUACAUGAUGAAUCAUAUCCGUCACACUCAUCCAUCACCGAUCCACUGCCUACUAGUCUUUUACUACUGGUCCUCGCUACGUUACUUUGUCUAGGCUUCUCCCUUGCUACAAAACGGAUUGGGCCACUUUGCUGCUACUGCUGCUACUGCUGUCACUUUGCUGCUACUGUUGCUACUGCUGUUUUUUUGCUGCUGCUGCUGCUACUGUUGUUCCUUGCUACUCUGCUGUUACUCGUUGCAAGAUCUUUUCCGACACUGUUGUCGGGGAAGAAUAGUUGCUCGUCAACGUACCUUUUUCUGGCGCCAUUGAUACAACAUGCCCUUAAAUAGUAUGACUGUUGGGUGGAUAAGAUUAGUGAGGUGGCGCGUGGCGCGGAAACAGUCGGAACUUUCAACUGUGAAAGUCCUCACGUGUCUCAUAUUCCUCACCUUGAGGCUUUGGUAGAUUUAGGCUUGGGUUGAGCAUCAUGAGGAAAUUCAUUCCAUAGUUUUACCUCGACCCCCUUUAAUAGUACGGUGUUCCUAUGACUCAAGAGUAAAGAAAAUGAAAUAGAAAGAGAGUAAAGCUUCACGCUUCAAAGUCUUUAGAAUGUUUUCUUCAGGACACACCGAAUUCCUCAUCUUCAAUAUCUUCAUGAGGAAUAUCAUUUUCAUCGCAAUUUCUUCGCGAUCAAAGUCUUUAAGGAAAAGACCAAAGUCUUCAACCGAAGACAUGCAUUUUAGGGGUCAAUAUUCAUCGUAUAACUCAAACUCCUCAGCGACUUAUAGAGCCUGUGUACACUCACAAACAUAUUAGUCUCUUAACCGAUAAGUCUUCAAACCACCAAAAUCACUAAGGGGUACUAGAUGCACUUACAACUUGAAACUAUGAAAUAUUUUUAGCUAGGGGCAUAAAACAAUAGCGCUUCUUGGGAGGCAACCCAAUAGUUAUCUUUAUUUUUAUCCUUUACUUUCUAUUUGUUUGUGACAACAUGAUUAUUGACUCUCUAAUGAUUAUGUUUUUAUGUUUUAGUUAGUGUUUGUGCCAAGUAAAGCCUUUGGGAUGAUUUGUACGAUGAGUAGAAUUGAUAUGGUACAAAAAUAGAAACUUGGACGUACAGUGCAGAAUUUGUCUCAUUUUACUGGAAUGUUUUUUUAAGAUUGAAUGUUUUACACAAUAUUCAUGAACAAAUUCCUCAGGUAUUCCUAAUGUUUCAGAAUUUUUGUAGUUACAGAAGUAUAGGUUCAUUACAGAUUACUAUGGAUUGUUCUAUUUCGGCCGGGUUUUGCUUUUGCUUGCAUAAUUUGCUUGUUUCGAUGAUGCUACGGAUUUUAUAAGGGGGUAUAAGCCAUGGAGAAAUUAAAAUACAGUACCUUAUGCUAAAAUAAAAUAAGAUUCAACUUAUAACAGUACUUAAAGUAUUUGAUAUGUUUCUUAUACUAACGGAUCUCACGAAGUUUUGUUGAGUUUUAUGUGAUUAAAGUUUUCAAGUUUUGGUUAUUAUCCCGGUGGACAUAGGAUUUAGGAGCAGGAAAAUCCUAAGCUUGGGGAUGCCCAAGGCACCCCAGGGUAAUAUUCUAGGAAGACUCAAGUGUCUAAGAUUGGGGGUGCCCCGCAAGGCAUCCCCUCUUUCGUCUCAAUCCAUCUCUAUGUCACUUGGAGCUACAUUUUAUUCAACACAUGAUAUGUGUUUUGCUUGGAGUGUUGUUUGCUUUUGUUUACUUUUACUUUCAGUUUGCCACAAUCAUCGUUUGCUGGACACACCUAUUUGAGAGAGAUACCACAUCAUCAUAAGUUGUUCGAAUACUCUAUGUGCUUCACUUAUAUCUUUUGAGCUUAAUAGUUGCUCUAGUACUUCACUAAUAUCUUGUUGAGGACGGUGGCGUGUAGAUUUUGUAUAAAUAAUAUGCUCUUGUUCUUCACUUAUAUUUGUUUGAGAGUUAAAUAUAUAGUGACGGUAAUUUGCAUGAGUCAUAAGACUAGAUCAAAAAUAAUAGGUGUUCAAUGAGUGAUAAUUAAAAUUAUCAUGUAGCACAUAUAGAGAAAUUAUGGGUUAAAGAUAUUGAUGUGGUGAUGUAAAAAAGGUGUGAGUGCAUAAUUAUUAAUUCAGAGAGGUGUCUGUAAGUGCAUCUAGUGCCCCUUAGUGAUUUUGGUGGUUUGAAGACUUAUAGGUUAAGAGACUAAUAUGUUUGUGAGUGUACACAUGCUAUAGAAAUCAUGGAGGAUUUUGAGUUCUACGAUGAAUAUCAACCCCUAAAAAUGUAUGUCUUUGGUUGAAGACUUUGGUAUUUCCUUGAAGACUUUUAUCGCGAAGAAAUUGCGAUGAAAUUGAUAUUCCUCAUGAAGAUAUUGAAGAUGAGGAAUUCGGUGUGUCCUGAAGAAAACACUAUGAAGACUUUGAAGCGUGAAGUUUUAUUCUUUCUGUUUCAUUUUCUUUACACUUGAGUCAUAGGAACGCCAUACUGUUAAAGGGGAUCGAGGUAAAACUACGGAAUGCUUUUCCUCAUGAUGGUCAACCCAAGCCUAAAUAUACCAAAGCCUCAAAGUGAGGAAUAUGAGAGACAUGAGGACUUUCACAGCUGAAAGUUCCGACCGUUGCCGCGCCACGCUCCACCCACUGAUCUUAUCCUCCCAACGAUCACAUUAUUGAAGGGCAUUUAUGUCAACUCAUGUCGGGAUGCUCCCACGCUAUAAAUAGCCGCCCCCAAGAACCACUUGCUGGUUGGCUGCUACGAUUGAAACUCACACUUGUCAUUUAGAGAAACCCAAAUUCCUCAGAAUCUUCGAGAGAAAAUCAUCAAGUGAGGAAAUACCCCCAAACACCAAACCCCAAACCAAAAAUCAAGUGAUUGAGCGUCACUGAAGAACUUGUUCCUGUGUGGAACUGAAGCAUGUUACCUUUGAGGAUUGUGCAUCCUCUAGACGGUUAGGCGUCAUGAUCUGGAGCAUCGAGCAGUCAAUUGUGGAUUGCCGGGUGACCGAUUUUGUGAGGGUUUAGAAGUCUUCCCUCAAGACUUACCACGAGUGUUGGCCGAGGACUUUGUGUCCUUAGCUCAAGGAGAAUACGGUAGGGACUGUGUGUCCCGGGACUGUGUGUCCUUUUGGUUUCAAUUCCAAGCCGCUCCGAAUCAGACGUACAACUGUCACAGCAGUUGGAACUGAGUCAUCAACAACUGUCUUCAUCAACCUACGGGCUCUAUUUCUUCAACUCUUUCAUUUCCUUAAAAUGUAUGUUGAAGACUUUCAUCUGUGUUGUUUGAAGAAUUUGUCUGAAGACUUUCUCUGAAUUUCCUCAACCUCAAAUUCUUCACUUGAGUUAAUAUUCACCUCCGUACUCUGUACUUGUGAACAGUGCAAACCGAAUCUCAUAAACUUCAUCGAGUACUUUGUUGUAGUCGUUUUGCACUUGUGAUCCUGCGCUAUUUCCGCUGCACUAAGUUCGUCAUUGAGGACUUUCCUCACAAGGGAUUUCCUCGGUGAUGAAAUUCUAAAAAUUUCCUAUUCACCCCCCUCUAGUCGAUAUAACGCACUUUCAAUUGGUAUCAGAGCAAGGUACUCCAUUGUUCUGUGUGAUUUUGGUUUAACCACCUAGAGUUUUAGUUAUGUCGAUCGCAUGUAUAAUCAAGGUUACUGCAGGAUGUCCUACCUUCGAAGGAAAGGACUUUCCCUACUGGAAGACCAAGAUGCAGAUGCAUAUUCAGGCUAUUGACAAUGAUCUCUGGUAUAUUGUGGAAAAUGGUAUUCCCUCCAUCCCUGCUACUGCCUCUGCCGCUGAUGUGAAGAAGUUCAAGCAACUUGACUCACAAGUGAAAAAUAUCAUCCGUGGCCAUCUGAGCAAAGGUCAGUAUGGCAGAGUGAGUGCUUUGGGAACAACUAAGCUUAUCUGGGAUAGGAUGUCCAAAGUCAAUGAGGGAGUCUCAACACAGCGUGACUCUCGUGUUGAUGUUCUUCGCAAUCUCUUCAAUCGCUUCAAGAGGCUUGACAAUGAAAGCUGCCAAGAUACCUUCGAUCGCCUCAUUGACAUCUCAAAAAGAACUGCAAGCACUGGGAGCUAGAGACAUCACUGACCAUGAAGUUGUGAAGAAACUGCUAAGAUCUCUUGAUCCAUCGUUUGACACACCGGUUCUAAUGAUUCAAGAAAGAAGAGACUACAAAAUGCUUGAUCCUGCUGAUAUACUCGAGAGACUCAAUACUCAUGAAUUCCAACAAGAAGAAAAGAUAGAUAUGUAUGGACCAAGCUACUCAAGACCUCAUGCGCUGAAGGCUAAGGCUAUUUCCUCAUCUGAAGAAGAAGACUCAGAUUGGAGCCUUGGUGACCGUGAAGAACUGGGAAAACAACUUGCUAUGUUCGUGAGGACAUUCCAGAAGUUCACAAAGUGUGACCAGUUUGGUAAAUCUUCAAGAAGAGAUAUGAGGAAAUCGGAAUCUUCAUAUAAGGAUUACAAGAGAAGAACCUGCCACAAAUGCAAGAAAUCUGGUCACUACAUUGCUGACUGUCCUCGCUGGGUGAAGGAAUCUAGGAAGAAGAAAUACAAGGAUGAAAGUUCUCAUGACUCGAAAAAAAAAUCUUCAAAGUCCUCAUCGCACAAGAAGACUAGUUUCAUAAAGGCUCGGGCACUCAUUGGAAAGGAAAUUGAUUCUGAAAAAGAAUCUGAGGAAUGUGAUGAAGAGGAUUCAGAGUCUGGUGUGGCAAGUCUUGCACUGGCUACCACAUUCAUCAGCAAGUCAAUCUUCAACCUUGAGGAAAAUGACAACACUAUCUACACUAAUGAAAAUGCUGAUGACUUUGCUCCAACCUAUUGCUUCAUGGAAAAAGGUUCAAAGGUACCAAACCAUACUUCCUCCACUGAUUCUAGUGACUGUGAACCUGAUGAUUAUCAAAAGCCCGGUUACUAUAAACUUGCCAACAUUGCCACUAAGCAACAAAGUGCCAUUGAAAAGCUUCAAAAAAAAUUUAGACAGAAGCGAUGACCUGUUGAAUGAUGAAAUGAAUCGUACUCAAGUCCUCACUGAAGAUGUGAAAAGUCUUCAGUCUAGGUUUGGUAGUCUUCAAGAUCGUUAUGGCACACUUUUAGCUGAUCAUGAGAAACUUCCCUAUGAAUUUCUUCAAAGCAAACUUGAUCUUGAGAAGUUGAAAAUGUCUCAUGAUGAUCUUCUAAUGGAAAACGAUUCAUUGCUUGCUCAACAGAUCAGUACUGCUCAGGUUGAAUUCAUUCCACCAUGUUUGAAAUGCAUCGAGCGUGAAGAUGCUAAUUAUUCACCAGAAUCAUCAAAUGCUUCUAUUACUACAAAUUAUUCAACUGUCCGUGUGGUAUCAAAUUCUUCACUUGAAGAACCCACAAAUGCUACUUACGAAAAUACAGGGUUGAAGGAACUGUAUGUGACAGGCAUAUACAAAAGUCUCAAAGGGCAUCAAACAAUUUGCGAUGUGCUCAAAAAGAAGAUUUUGAACAUGAACCCGAGGAAAGAAGGAAUUGGCUUUGAGAGGAAAUUGAAUACUAAUGGAUCAUACUGGAAACCUAAGCACUACCCCAAAACCUCAUGGGUUGCUGCUAAAGGUCCUCCCGUCGAUCAUCCACUCUAACAGGCUUUGCAUGUGAAUUAUCCUAUUCCUCAGAUGAGUCAUUUAACUCCAACUAUAAACUGUUCAAAGAUCAAUUUGGUGAAGUAUUUGCUCGAUAUGUUGGAACUAACUGCAGAAAUGGACCACCCUUGAGGAAAAUCUGGGUCCCCAAAAUUUGCUUGGAAAAUCUUUAGGUGAAUGUCCUCAUGACACCACCUGUGAAGAACCAGAAACCGACAUCAAUUUCCUGAGGUUGACCAAAGUCUUCACGAGGAUCAAAAUCCUCAAAUUGUGAAUACUAUACUCGUACUCGCGCUAAUGCUUCUGAUAUGCACGGAAAUUACAAGGGGCAUGAAUAUGAGAUUUAUUCCUCAAAUCAUUAUGUUCAUAAGUCCUCAAAGAAUUUCCCUGCCUAUUCAUUUGAGUACUCUAACCCCCUUACUGUGAAAAGAAGUGAUUUAGCUUCAAUGCCUCCAUUCUCAUAUGGUGCUCGCAUGAUGAUGAACUCUUUGCCACCCCUUCAGAUGUGGGUGGUGAAGAAAUUGAACUAAUCACUUCUGCACGCCACGUCUCUAGAUGAAAGUCAUCAUCUUAAGAAUUUGCUGGAGACCCAAGGAAAAUGAUUUAUUGGACGCAAGCUAAACUUGAUGAAAUGAUAACAUUUCACACGUCCUCAAAUUUACUGUUUAUGAUGAAAUUCUUGUCUGAUGAAAUUGAUAUCAUCUUCUUCAAGUCUGAAGCAUAUGAGAUGGUAAGUUGUACUAAUUAAUCUCCAGGAUGACAAACCCAAGAAUACAGAGUGGGUUCUUGACAGUGGUUGCACAAACACAUUACUGGUGAUAAAACCUUGUUGAUGAAUAUGCCACCGACUCCAUCACCACUGAAGCAAAUCACUUAUGCUGAUAAAGGUAAAAGAAAGGUAUUGGGACUUGGAGAAGUGGCUAUCUCCAAGGACAGGCACAUGGACAAAGUCAUGCUUGUCGAAUCCCUUGGGUUUAACCUCAUUUCAGUCUCAAUGCUUUGUGAUCUUGAUAUGGUUGUUAUCUUUGGAAAAUACAGAUGCGUAGUCAUCAUGGAAUCUGACAAAUCCAAAGUCUUUGAAGGCUUUCGGAGAGGAGAUUUGUACAUUGUUGAUUUUUCCACAGGUCCUCAACCAGCCACAUGCUUAGUAACAAAAACCUCAGAAGGCUGGCUAUGGCAUCGAUGUCUCGGUCAUGCAGGCAUGAGGAAUUUUCACAUGGUGGCGAAGAAGAAGCAUGUCAUUGGCAUCGAAUACGUCAAAUUCCUCAAGGACCAUCUCUGCGGUGCUUGUGAAUCUGGAAAAAUAACCAGAUCCAAACACCCUUCGAAGACUAUCACGACUACUACUCGUCCGUUUGAAUUGCUUCACAUGGAUUUGUUUGGACCUACUCAUUAUUCUACUCUAACUAAUGCAGCAUCUUUAUAUGGCUUUGUCAUCGUUGAUGACUACUCUUGCUAUACUUGGGUACACAUCAUUCUGUAUAAAACUGAAGUGCGGGAAGUCUUCAAACGAUUUUCCUCAAGGGCCUCGACAAACUUCAACGUCAAGAUCAAACACAUCAGGAGUGAUAUUGGGACAAAAUUCAAAAACACUCGUCUUGAUGAUUAUCUUGAUGAACUUGGUAUUACUCACGAAAUAUCUGCUCCUUAUACUCCUCAACAGAAUGGGGUCGUUGAAGGCAAGAACAGGACUGUGGUUGAAAUGGCACGGACUAUGCUUGAAGAAUAUCACACUCCUCGUCGUUUCUGGCCUGAAGCAAUCAACACUGCUUGCCACAUCAUCAACAAGGUAUAUCUUCACAAAUUCCUCGAGAAAACCUCAUAUGAACUUCUCACUGGCAAGAAACCGAAUAUAAGUUAUUUCAAAGUCUUUGGGUGCAAAAUGCUGGAUUAGAGAUCCUCCUCAUAGCUCAAUGUUUGCACCUAAAGCACAUGAGGGUUUUAUGCUUGGUUACGGAAAGGAAACGCACACCUACAAAGUCUUCAACACCUAUCACAACAAGGUUGUUGAAAGUGUAGAUGUGCGGUUCAAUGAAACUAAUGGCUCGCAAAGAGAGCAACUGCCUCAUGUGCCAGAUAAACUACCUCCUGAGGAAUCCAUCAAGCUCAAGGCAACUGAAGAUAUCAUUCCUACUGAGGAACAAACCCUUGUUGAAGAAGUCGUACCCAACACUGAGGAAAUUCAAACUAGUGCACCUGGGGAAAAUGCUACAGAUCAAAUUCCUCAGCCCAACCGAAGUCAUCAACCAGCUCAUCCGAGGAUUGCAAAUGAAUUAGAACUUGAAAAAAAUCCUCGAUGACAUCAAUGUGCCAGGUCCUCUCACUCGCUCAAAAGCUUCACAUUUAGUUAACUUUUGUGGGCAUACCUCGUUUGUGACUAUCACAGAACCCUCAAAAGUUGAUGAAGCCUUCAUGGAACCUGAGUGAGUUCAGGCCAUGCAAGAUGAACUUCUUCAGUUCCAGCUAAAUGACGUGUGGGAACUUGUCAAACGACCAGAUCCUCGCAAACACAAUAUCAUCGGCACCAAGUGGAUCUACGAAAACAAGCAAGACGAGGAUGGUCAGGUAUUGAGGAAUAAGGCACGGCUUGUAGCCCAAGGCUACACACAGGUUGAAGGAAUUGACUUUGAUGAAACUUUUGCACCUAUUGCUAGACAUGAAGUUAUUCGAAUAUUACUCGCUUACGCUAACCAUCAGAAUAUAACUCUAUAUCAAUUGGAUGUGAAAAGUGCAUUCCUCAAUGGUAAGCUUGUCACAAAAUCCUCAAUAUUUCAAAAGCUUUAAAAUCUUCAAAUUAUUCAAAAAAAUUGAUGAUUUUAAUUUGAGAAUAUAUAUAUAUAUAUAUAUAUAAUGAGCUUUCAAUGUCCUCAAUAGCAUUCACUUAUAGCUCAGUCUUCAAUUUGAUAUUUCAUCUAAGUGAAUGUGAUCGGACCCGACUCUCCUCUAUACUAAGCUCAAUCCGGUCUAUUCUCAAUUCUUCAUAUGCGUUCAAUUUGACACUUGUUCAAAAUCCUUAGUGAAUCCUUGCCAGCUGAGGACUUUGUAACGAAAUCCUCAAAUUCAAUUUUUUAACCGUUGCAACAGUAACCGCACCCACUACUCACGUUCGGAUAUCCACGAUCUCCACCGCUUCAAUCAUGAGCACGACAUGUCAAGCGGAGACGAAGGGGCAAGGGCAGUUCAGUCCGAAAGUUUCGUCCCGAACAGUUUUUCACCUAAGCUAGAAAUAGCCCCUUGAUACGUCUCCAUCGUAUCUACUUUUCCAAACUCUUUUGCCCUUGUUUUGGAAUCUAAUUUGCAUGAUUUGAAUGGAACUAACCCGGACUGACGCUGUUUUUAGCAGAAUUGCCAUGGUGUUGUUUUUGCGCAGAAAUAAAAGUUCUCGGAAUGACCUGGAAAUUUAUGAGGAUUUUUUGUGGAAUAUAUAAAAAAUACUAGCGCAAGAAUUACCUGGAGGGACGGAGCCAGGAGCCUAGAAGCCCAGGAGGCGCGGCCCCCCUGGCCGCGCCUGGCAGGCUUGUGAGCCCCUCGUGGCUCCGCCGCCUCCAAUUCCAGCUCUAUAUAUUCUCUCUCGCCCGGAAAAAAAUCAGAGAGAAGAGUUCAUCGCGUUUUAUGAUACGGAGCAGCCGCCACCACCUGUUCUUCCUCUCGAGGGCAGAUCUGGAGUCCGUUCUGGGCUCCGGAGAGGGGGAAUCGACGCCUUCGUCAUCACCAACCAUCCUUCAUUGCCAAUUCCAUGAUGCUCGUCAUCGUUCGUGAGUUAUCUCAUCGUAGGCUUGCUGGACGGUGAUGGGUUGGAUGAGAUCUAUCAUGUAAUCGAGUUAGUUUUGAUGGGGAUUGAUCCCUAGUAUCCACUAUGUUAUGAGAUUGAUGUUGCUACUACUUUGCCAUGCUUAAUGCUUGUCACUAGGGCCCAAGUGCCAUGAUUUCAGAUCUGAACCUAUUAAGUUAUCAUCAACAUAUGUGUGUUCUUGAUACUAUCUUGCAAGUUGUAGUCACCUACUAUGUGUUAUGACCCGGCAACCCCAGAGUGACAAUAGCCGGUAACACUCCCGGAGAUGACCAUAGUAUGAGGAGUUCAUGUAUUCACUAAGUGCUAAUGCUUUCUUCCGGUUCUCUAUUAAAAGGAGACCCUUAAUAUCCAGUAGUUUCCAUUAGGACCCCGCUUCCACGGGAGGGAUGGACAAUAGAUGUCAUGCAAGUUCUUUUCCAUAAGCAUGUAUGACUAUAUAUGGAAUACAUGCCUACAUUACAUUGACGAACUGGAGCUAGUUACAAAUCUCCCCAUCUAAUAACUGUUACAUGAUGAAUGUCAUCCGACAUAAUUAUCCAUCACCGAUCCAAUGCAUAUGAGUUUUUCCUACUGGUCCUCGCUACAUUACUUUAUCGCUACUGCUGUCAAUACUGCUACUGUUACCGUUUCUACGGUUGCUAUCACACUACUCUGCUACUGAAACUUUGCUGCACAUACUAAGUCUUUCAGGUGUGGUUGAAUUGACAACUCAACUGCUAAUACUCGAGAAUAUUCUUUUGCUUCCCCUUGUGUCGAAUCAACAAAUUUGGGUUGAAUACUCUACCCUCGAAAACGGUUGUGAUCCCCUAUACUUGUGGGUUAUCAAGACUAUUUUCUGGCGCCGUUGCUGGGGAGGCCUAGCUCUAUUCUCUGAGUCACUUGGGAUUUACAUCUGUUGAUCACUAUGAGGAAUUCGAGAGAUCCAAAAACUAAAGUCUUGCCAUCAACUACGAGGACAGGUAAGGAACUGCCAUCUAGCUGUGCACUUGAUUCACCUUCAGUUAUGAGUAAGUUUGCGACACCACUGCCUACUAGAAAUUCUGAUGUGUCGCAUGUGCUUGAUAAUGCUACUUCUUCUAUCCAUGAUGCUUAUGAUGAUGCUUUGCUUGAUACUGCUUUGCCACUAGGUGCAUUCCUUGAUGCACAAAUUGCUAGAGUUGCUACUGAAUGUGAUGAUACUUCUGAAACUGCUGAAAUUAUUGAAGUAGAACCUGAUGUUUCACCUUUUAGAACUAGCUCUCCUAGAUAUGAAUUGCCUGAUAUACCUGAGGGUUAUGUUAUGGAGGGAGAGGUAGCUGAGAACUUUCUUGCUUGUAAGGAUAGCUAUGAUCUUGAGAAUUUAUUGCGCAAGUGGAAAGAAAAAUCUCCGAACGCUAGAAUGAAAUACGAUCCUAAGUUUGCUACUUCGCCUAUCUUUGUAACCGGUAAGGAUUAUGAAUGUUCUGUCGAUCCUGAGUUAAUCAAUUUGGUCGAAUCUGAUCCUUUUCAUGGUUAUGAGUCUGAAACGGUUGUAGCACAACUUACUAAGCUGAAUGAUAUAGCCACCCUAUUCACAAGUGAGGAAAAGAUUCGUCAUUACUAUAUCCUUAAGUUGUUUCCUUUCUUGCUAAAGGAUGACACUAAGACUUGGUUUACUUCUCUUGCUCCUGGUUGUGUGUGUAGUCCCCAGGAUAUGAUAUACUACUUCUCUGAGAAAUAUUUUCCUGCCCAUAAGAAAUAAGUUGCCUUGAAGGAUAUAUAUAACUUUGUGCAAGUUGAAGAAGAGAGUCUCCCACAAGCUUGGGGAAGGCUUGUCUAGUUACUGAAUGCUUUGCCUGAUCACCCUCUUGAGAAGAAUGAAAUACUUGAUAUCUUUUAUAGUGGACUAACCGAUGCUUCUAGGGACCACCUAGAUAGUUGUGCUGGUUGUGUUUUCAGGGAACGAACUGUGGAACAAGCUGAAAUUCUAUUGAAUAAUAUCUUGAGCAAUGAUAAUGCUUGGGCUAUUCCCGAACCACCUCCGAAGCCAACUCCGAAGAAAAGAGGUACUCUAUUCCUCAGUCCUGAAGAUAUGCAAGAAGCCAAGAAAUCUAUGCAAGAGAAAGGUAUUAAAUCAUAAGAUGUUAAUAAUCUACCACCUAUCGAAGAAAUACAUGGUCUUGAUAACCCGACACAGGUAGUAGAGGUAAAUUCUCUUCAUAGAUUCAAUGAUAGUGAUAUUCCUUUUGAUAUACCUGCUAGCUUAUGCCUAGAUGAAUUUGAUAACUUUGUUGCCAAACAACAAAGUUUCAAUGAUUAUGUUAGCAGACAAUUGGAACAGAAUGCUCGUAUGCUUAGUCGUUUAAGUGCUUGUGUGGAUAGAAAUGUCAAUGAUCUUAAGCUUUUGAGUAAACAUGCCUCUAUGGUCACUACUCAAGUAGAACCAGUACUUAAGGAUCAAAAUGACUUGCUCAAUGAGUUGAAUGACAAUUAUGUUAGAGUCGUCACCAGAGGUGGUAGAAUGACUCAGGAACCUUUGUAUCCUGAGGGCCAUCCUAAGAGAAUUGAACAAGAUUCUCAAGGAGUUAGCACUGAUGCACCUAGUCAUCCUAGUGAUAGGAAGAAAAAGAAAGAUGAUAGGAACUUGCAUGCUAGCAAACCUGCUGUUGUUACACCUGAGAAUCCAAAUGAUAUCUUUAUUUCUGAUGCCGAAACACAAUCUGGUGAUGAACAUGAGCCUAGUGAUAAUGUCGAUAGUGGUGUUCAUGAUGAUGCUCAACCUAGUAAUGAUAAGGAUGUGGAGAUUGAACCUAGUGUUGAUCUUGAUAACCCACAACCUAAGAACAAGAGAUACGAUAAGAACGACUUCAUUGCUAGGAAGCAUGGUAAAUAAAGAGAACCAUGGGUUCAGAAACUCAUGCGCUUUCCUCCCAAACCAUCCAAGAAAAAGGACAAUGAGGAUUUUGAGCGCUUUGUUGAAAUGAUUAGACCUGUCUUUCUGCAAAUGCAUUUGACAUAUAUGCUCAAAAUGUCUCCUUAUGCUAAGUACGUGAAAGAUAUUGUGACCAAUAAAAGGAAGAUACCUGAGGUUGAGAUUUCCACCAUGCUUGCUAACUACACAUUCAAGGAUGGAACUCCUAAGAAACUAGGUGAUCCCGGAGUGCCCACUAUACCUUGCUCCAUUAAAGGAAACUACGUUAGAACUGCUUUAUGCGACAGUGGAGCUGGUGUUAGUGUUAUGCCUCUCUCUCUUUACCGUAGACUUGAAUUGGAUGAGUUGACACCCACUGAAACGUCUUUGCAAAUGGCCGACAAAUCAACUGCUUUUCCUAUCGGCAUUUGCGAGGAUGUGCCUGUUGUGGUUGCUAGCGUUACUAUCUUAAAGUACUUUGUUGUUAUGGAUAUUCCCGAGGAUGAUGCCAUGGCGGUCAUCCUUGGAAGACCCUUUUUAAACACUGCUGGGGCUGUUAUUGAUUGCAACAAAGCCAAUGUCACUUUCCAUGUCAAUGGUAAUGAGCAUACGGUGCACUUUCUGAAGAAAAAAUAUCGAGUACAUUGCAAUGCUAUCGAGCCCACAAGCCCAGGAGGCGCCCCCCUGGCCGCGUCUGGCAGGCUUGUGAGCCCCUCGUGGCUCCGCCGCCUCCAAUUCCAGAUCUAUAUAUUCUCUCUCGCCCGGAAAAAAAUCAGACAGAAGAGUUCAUCGCGUUUUACGAUAAGAAGCCGCCGCCAUCACCUGUUCUUCCUCUGGAGGGAAGAUCUGGAGUCCGUUCUGGGCUCCGGAGAGGGGGAAUCGACACCUUCGUCAUCACCAACCAUCCUUCAUCGCCAAUUCCAUGAUGCUCUUCAUCAUUCGUGAGUAAUCUCAUCGUAGGCUUGNNNNNNNNNNNNNNNNNNNNNNNNNNNNNNNNNNNNNNNNNNNNNNNNNNNNNNNNNNNNNNNNNNNNNNNNNNNNNNNNNNNNNNNNNNNNNNNNNNNNNNNNNNNNNNNNNNNNNNNNNNNNNNNNNNNNNNNNNNNNNNNNNNNNNNNNNNNNNNNNNNNNNNNNNNNNNNNNNNNNNNNNNNNNNNNNNNNNNNNNNNNNNNNNNNNNNNNNNNNNNNNNNNNNNNNNNNNNNNNNNNNNNNNNNNNNNNNNNNNNNNNNNNNNNNNNNNNNNNNNNNNNNNNNNNNNNNNNNNNNNNNNNNNNNNNNNNNNNNNNNNNNNNNNNNNNNNNNNNNNNNNNNNNNNNNNNNNNNNNNNNNNNNNNNNNNNNNNNNNNNNNNNUCAGAUCUGAACCUAUUACGUUUUCAUCAAUAUAUGUGUGUUCUUGAUCCUAUCUUGCAAGUUGUAGUCACCUACUAUGUGUUAUGACCCGGCAACCCCGGAGUGACAAUAGUCGGUACCACUCCCGGAGAUGACCAUAGUAUGAGGAGUUCAUAUAUUCACUAAGUGUUAAUGCUUUGUUCCGGUUCUCUAUUAAAAGGAGACCCUUAAUAUCUCGUAGUUUCCAUUAGGACCCCCGCUGCCACGGGAGGGAUGGACAAUAGAUGUCAUGCAAGUUCUUUUCCAUAAGCACGUAUGACUAUAUACGGAAUACAUGCCUACAUUACAUUGACGAACUGGAGCUAGUUACAAAUCUCCCCAUGUUAUAACUGUUACAUGAUGAAUGUCAUCCAACAUAAUUAUCCAUCACCAAUCCAAUGCCUACGAGUUUUUCCUACUGGUCCUUGCUACAUUACUUUACCGCUACUGUUGCCACUACUGCUACUGUUACCGUUGUUACCGUUCCUAUCACACUACUCUGCUACUGAAACUUUGCUGCGGAUACUAUGUCUUUCAGGUGUGGUUGAAUUGACAACUCAACUGCUAAUACUCGAGAAUAUUCUUUUGCUUCCCCUUGUGCCGAAUCAACAAAUUUGGGUUGAAUACUCUACCCUCGAAAACUGUUGCGAUCCCCUAUACUUGUGGGUUAUCACCCCUUAGCCCCUUAGUCAACACUCUUCUUUCCCUCUCGUCUUCUCCGCUCGAGCUUGACCCUGGCGCCGCCUCUAACAUCUUCGCCGCAGGUGAGGAAAAGCUUCACUGCCUUGCCCUAGCCGUCGACGAACUCACACCGACAACGGACUAUCCUCCUCCGCCGUCGCCGUAGCUAUUUUCAGUCGCCAAGUUAGGGCACUGAAUAUCUGAACCGAAGAACUUCCUGUUUUUAUUGCCUCAGUUCAUCGUGUUCUUCGCACAGGGUAAAUAAAAUCUUAUUUUAUUGCCCUAUUGAUCUUUUAUUUCACUUUAGAUUCAUCAAAUCAGUUUUUCCUUAGAAAUUUCCUCACAUGUGCACACUCAUUCCUAGAACACUUGAUGAAUUUCACUAAGUUACUAAAAUUCUUCACGAGAUUCCUCAAUUGUGUAAAUUUUCGAAUGUGCACACCUCUGGAACCCAAUAUCAUAAUGCUUAGUCAAAUUCCUCAACUCACUCAUCAAAUUCCUCAGCUUUUAAAAAAUUUCAAUUUCCUCAAAUCUGAGAACGCAUAUGACCUCUCCAAAUUCUCCGCACCUAUACUUUGUUCACAUGUACAAAAUGCGAGCUGGUGAAUCUCUAGGUUCUCAUCAACUUAACUCAUUUGCGGCAUUUCUCGAAGAAACUUUAUCUGUGUCUUCAGAACCAUCAAGAAUUCAAAUUCCUCAGCAAAAACCUCGGUUGAAGAAAAUGGAAGAAGAUCGGAAAUAGAAAGGUGGCAAGAAACUGGUGUAGAAUACUGCUUUUGAGAUCCGUGAAGAAAUAUAUGCUGACUACUAUACACAUGAUGAAGAAAUACAUGGUAAAGAGACAAUGGCAAAGCACAAGAUUAGGCUUCAAAAGAUUGAGCGCAGGUGGGCAAAAGAGUGGAAGGAGUACAGAUAUGUGACUCUAAAAUAUGCAAAGAAGUUUGCCCUCAAACAUCCCUGCAAAAGGCCGCCAUAGGGAGAUCAACAAGCAGCUCAUCCCUCAAGUGUCGCCACUAUUGAGGAUUAUCCUGAUGAGAAAGACAAAUACUUGUCUAAGUUGCAGAAAAAGGCAAACGCUGUUGUGAUGAAAUUCAAUGAGGACUCUGCUGCUGCUGCCACUGCUGCCACUUAUUCAGCUGUUGAAGCCUCUGCUACUGCAAUUCCUUAGAAGAAGACUCUGCUGAAGAAACCAGAAGCUUCACUUGCUGCGUCAAAAGAGCAAUUUCCUCACAAAGUUGCGACGACUGCAAAAUACUCAACUGCAAAACAGUCUUCACCUCCUCCGCAAAAGCAGCUCAAUGAGAUUCAAUCUGGACAACCUAGUUCCUCUGUGCCAUCUGCUACUGGCUCCGCCUCAAAAUCUUCACCAAGUCUUUUGAAGACUAAGAUGACUGCUGGUAGAACUACCAGACCGAGUCCUAGCAAAAUCAUCAACAUUCCUUCUGCAUUAGAAGGAAGUGAAGAAUUUGAUGAAGAAACACUCCACACCAUUAUCAGAAACAAACAAGAACGUGUUGCACAAGCCUCUGGCAGUUCCAUUCGUCUUGCAAUGGAUCCGAAGGUAUUGCUGGACUUCAUUGACCUCUGGUAUGAAGAUCCAAACACACCGAUUGAUGAUUUGAAGCUUCCCCUUGGUGUAAGCCAUAUGUUUGCUACUUUCAUCAAUGAAACUAAAUGGAAAGAACAGCAAGCCAAGCAAGCCACGACUGCUAAAGUCAAAAAGGAGAAAAUCCUGAAGCAGAAUAUCCUCAACUUGUCGCCUGAAGUACUCAUUUCAACUAAUGCUGAACUCAAAACCGCCACGGACAAGUAUACAAGUCUUCACGUUGAUUGUAAAGGGGUCAAAGAGAAAUUCGUCAAUGCUGCUACUGCUGCAGUUGAUGAAUACAAUACCAGAAUGGCCGCAUCAAAGCGGCAGACAAACCCUCAGCCAAGCUACACUGUUGAAUUGCCUGAGGAAGAUGAAGAUGAAGAACCAGUUGUUGAAGAUAUUCCUCCAAAUAUUCUAGCUGAUGAAUCUGCAAGGCCCGACUCUGAUAAACCAAUGCAUGAUGAAAGUGCUCCUUCAGCAAAAUCCUCAAAGCUGAAGAAAGUGACUCUGUCUGCAUCAGACAUGAAGAAAACCAAGACAGCUAAGAAAGAAGCUAAAAAGAGAAAAGCUUCAAUGGCUCCAGAAUCGUCAAAAGUCAAACAUCUGAAGAUUAUGCCUUCAGAAUCCUCAUCACCCCGGUGGAUGCUACUCCUCUCAAUGUAGCACCAUCGUACAUGAUUGUUCCUUUUAGUGAGGACUAUGUCAUUCCCGAAGACGAUGAUGAAAUGGAAGACACUCGCUCACGUGCAUCCACACUGAUGGAUGAGGAAAUAAAAGUUGAUAAUAUUACUCAAAUCCAUACACCUCCGAGGACUACUGAAGAAAAGGAGGGUGAUGAAGAAAUUGGAUGCUGCACUCCUGUGAUCCAUGAUGAGUUCUGGGAAGAGACUCAUCCGAAAUUGCAAAGGAUAGCUCAAAUCCCUCAAACUCCAUCUGCCACUGAGAUUCUUACCGGCUCUGAUGAAAAGAGCAUUCGUGCGGAAUCAACACAAGAAUGAGUUGCAUCAGCUGAAGAAAAUGCAGCAUUACUACUUCUUGAGCUUGCGUUGGUUUUUCCCUUGAAGAGGAAAGGGUGAUGCAGCAAAGUAGAGAUAAGUAUUUCCCUCAGUUUGAGAACCAAGCUAUCAAUCCAGUAGGAGUAUCAAGAUGAGGCACCAAGGCACGUGCGCAAAGACAAUCAAACUUGCACCCAACACGAUAAAGGGGUUGUCAAUUCCUUUACGAUUACUUGCAAAGUGAGAUCUGAUAGUGAUAAUAGGUAAAUAUAAAUAAAUAAAUAAAAGUGCAGCAAUGUAUUUUUGGUAUUUUUGUAUGUAGAUCUGAAUAUAUAAUGUGUAAAGUAGACCCGGGGGCCAUAGUGUUCACUAGAGGCUUCUCUCAUGAUAGCAAGUAUUACGGUGGGUGAACGAAUUACUGUCGAGCAAUUGAUAGAAUUGCGCAAAGCCAUGACGAUAUCUAAGGCAAUGAUCAUACAUAUAGGCAUCACGUCCGAGACAAGUAGACCGAUAAUUUCUGCAUCUACUACUAUUACUCCACACAUCAACCGCUAUGCAUGCAUCUAGUGUAUUAAGUUCAUAACAACAGAGUAACGCCUUAAGCAAGAUGACAUGAUGUAGAGGGAUAAAUUCAUGCAAUAUGAUAUAAACCCCAUCUUUUUACCCUUGAUGGCAACAACACGAUGCGUGCCUCGCGACCCCUUAUGUCACUAGGUGAGGACACCGCAUGGUAUGAACCCAAAACCAAGCACUUCUCCCAAUGCAAGAAUUAUAUAUCAAGUUGGCCAAACGAAACCCAUAACUCGAAGAGCAUUACAAGGAUACGAAAUCAUGCAUAUAAGAAAUCAGAGGAGACUCAAAUAAUAUUCAUAGAUAAUCUGAUCAUAAAUCCACAAUUCAUCGGGUCCCGACAAACACACCGCAAAAGAAAGUUACAUCGGAUAGAUCUCCGUGAAGAUCAUGGAGAACUUUGUAUUGAAAAUCCAAGAGAGAGAAGAAGCCAUCUAGCUACUAGCUAUGGACCCGAAGGUCUGUGGUGAACUACUCACGCAUCAUCGGAGAGGCAAUGGUGUUGAUGAAGAAGCCCUCCGUGUCCGAAUCCCCCUCCGGCAGGGCACCAGAACGGUCGCCAGAUGGGAUCUCGUGGAAAUAGAAUCUUGCGGCGGCGGAAAAGUAUUUUCAUGGCUCUCUCCGUUGGUUUGGGGAUUUUAGGGAAUUUAUAGGUGAAAGAGGUAGGGCAAAGGAGGCACUGGGGGCCCACGAGCCUGCUAGGCGCCCCCCUGGGGCGUGCCUAGGGGGCUCGUGGCCUCCUCCGUGGCCCUCUGUCUUGGUUCUCAAGUCUUCUAGAUCCCUUCUGUUAUGGAAAAAAUCAUCCCGAAGGUUUUAUUCCGUUUGGACUCCGUUUAAUAUUCUUAUCUGAAAAAGGUCAAAUACACGGAAAAAAACAGAAACUGGCACUCGGCACUUAGUUAAUAGGUUAGUCCCAAAAAUGAUAUAAAAUUGCAUAUCAAUGCAUAUAAAACACCCCAAGUUGAUAAUAUAGUAGCAUGGAACAAUCAAAAAUUAUAGAUACGUUAGAGACGCAUCAAGCAUCAAAAAUUGAAACUGCCUCCUAAAAUAAGCAAGUUCCUCAAAAUGAAGAAAAUGCUCAAACUGAAGAAACUGCUCCUGCUCCAAAUGUUGUGACUGCAAUUGUUGUGGUGAAUCCAGAAAUUGUAAUUGUAGUGGCCUCAAAUCCUCAAGAGCAUAAUCUUCAACCAAAGUCUCAUCAGACCUUCACCAAGAGGCCUAAGUUUCAGAAGGAAGCAUUUUAUGAGGAACGUCAGUACUUCACAUGAGAAAAAUCGUAUGACAAGCUUCGCAUCAGACACAUGAACUUCUGGACAAGAAAUCAGCUUAACUACUAUGUCUUUGUGUUCUGUGGAAGAAAGAAGAUAUUUCUUCACACUCACAUUCCUCACUGUGAUAUGGAAGAAAUACCUUGCUUUGUCCCAGUCCUCAAUGUUCUUCAUGAAGCUGGGUUAUUGCCUUUCUGCAUAGAUAUCAGUGAUUGGAACACUGACAUAAUUCUUCAAUUUUAUGCCACACUGCAUAUCUCACGCGACCCAAAAGACGUCACCACAUGGGUAUUGAACUGGAUGACUCAGCAUACGCAUUACAAAGCUCCAGCCACUGAAUUGCUUCGACCUCUCCUAAUAUCAAUUCCCUCAGAGGAUGUAGUCAAAAUUUAUGAUGAACGAGAACUGCCGAACAAGCUCAUGGAAGUCAUCAUGAAUCCUUUGGCCAAGGGCCAACAUCCAAGGACUCGAUUUCUGGUGCAAGAUUUGAAGUAUGAGCCCAUAACCGUGUACAUGAUCUUGUCCUAUGCCAUCGCACCUAUCAAAUGGCAUGACAAUGAAGAAGACGCCAUAGGCAUCAUGAAGAAUAUCUUGUUCAACGUCAUUCAUGGCAUCCCUAUGAAUCUUCAUGAUUUCUUCUAGAGGACUUUGGCUGACAAUGCUUGUCACCAUACGAGUUGAAGAUUUAUGCGCCAUGGAUCAUGAGGUUCAUCAGGAAUAGAUCAGGCAUCAACUAUCAAGUUGACUUUCAGAAUCACAUCGGAUAUCUGCCGCCAAUGAAAGUCAUCAAGUUGUCUUUUGAACAUGUUGAAGGCAAAGGCAAGUAUGUGAUCGAUGAAGGAAAUCGGCCCCUAGAUGGCCAAUUUCGCAAGGCUGAUUCCUAUUCCUCGUAUGAUGACACUGCUACUCAAGACCCUCCAAGCCCAACUGCUCCAAGGAUGAUGACUAACAGAGAGCUUCUUCUCAGUCUUCACCAAAAAGUCGAUCGCAGUCACAAGUGGGUGAAACGCCAAUUUGGUGCCAUUGUGAAAACCCUCAAUGAGACUCAAAAUGCAGUGAAGAAAAAUCACUAUUAUCUUCAUGAGGUAGUUAAUCGCACUUGGGCCACCUUGGCUCAUCUGAAGACUCCCGAGAAACUUGAGGAAUUGGAAUUUACUCAAGACUUUGACUAGUCGUGGCCUCCAAAGAAGAAAUUCAAGCCAAUUCCACUUCCUGACUUGGAGGAUAGUUCAUGUUCUUCAUUUCGCACUACUGGAUCAGAUGAAGAACCAGAGGAAACUGCAAUUGGUCCAAGGAAGAAGCAUGUCUCCAAGGAUGCUCACGCCUCUACAUCGUCAAAAAAGUGAAUUUCUUCAAGGGCGUUAGUCCUCAAUUUUGUCCCUUUUCGUCACUUGAUGACAAAAGGGGAGAAAUCUGAGAGUUAGUCUUCAAGUGGGAUACUUUAUGGGGCUUAUAAACUUUAUUAAGCUACAAACUCUUGGUUCUUCUGAAGUCUUUGAUGUAAUGAGUUGUAACUUAAGCCCGAUGGUGUUCUGACUCUUUUGGACAUUUUUCUUCGCAUGCUUAUUCCUCAAAGUUUAUUAAUGCAGGCAUGCUGAAAUUCGUCAGACACCAUUCUUCAUCAUGCAUAUCUAAUUCCUCAUACUAUAUGUUAGAUGCAUGCAUGAAUUUAAGACACAAGGGGAGAUCUCCAUGAUAAAAAUCAUCACUGUGCAUCUGCUGCUCAAAGCAAAUUCCUCAAAAUAUGCACAUCUUCAGGGGGACUUUCUAUGUAUCUUGAUUUCAAAUUCCUCAAACUCAGUACUUACAUUCCAUAUUAUUAUUCCUGUUGAAAACUUAACCUAAUUGUCAUCAACCACCAAAAAGGGCGAGAUUGUAAGUGCAUCUGGUGCCCCUUGGUGAUUUUGGUGGUUUGAAGACUUAUAGGUUCGGAGACUAAUAUCUUUGUGAGUGUACACAAGCUCUAUAAGUCACUAAGGAGUUUGAGUUAUACGACGAAUAUCGACCCCUAAAAAUGUAUGUCUUCGGCUGAAGACUUUGGUCUUUCCUUGAAGACUUUGAUCGCAAAGAAAUUGUGAUGAAAUUGAUAUUCCUCAUAAAGAUAUUGAAGAUGAGGAAUUCGGUGUGUCUUGAAGAAAACACUAUGAAGACUUUGAAGCGUGAAGUUUUAUUAUUUUUGUUUCAUUUUCUUUACACUUGAGUCAUAGGAACGCCAUACUGUUAAAGGGAGUCGAGGUAAAACUAUGGAAUGAUUUUCCCCAUGAUGCUCAACCCAAGCCUAAAUCUACCAAAGCCUCAAAGUGAGGAAUAUGAGAGACAUGAGGACUUUCAUAGCUGAAAGUUCCGACCGUUGUCGCGCCACGCGCCACCCCACUGAUCUUAUCCACCCAACCGUCACAUUAUUUAAGGGCAUUUAUGUCAAAUCAUGUUGGGAUGCUCCCAGGCUAUAAAUAGCCGUCCCCACAACCACUUGCUGGUUGGCUGCUCCGAGAGAAACUGACACUUGUCAUUAGAGCAACCCAAAUUCCUCAGAGUCUUCGAGAGAAAAUCAUCAAGUGAGGAAAUACCCCAAACCAAAAAUCAAGUGAUUGAGCAUCACUAAAGAAGUUGUUCCUCUAUGGAACUGAAGCGUGUUACCUUUGAGGACUGUGCAUCCUCCACACGAUUAGGCGUCAUGGUCUAGAGCAUCCAGCAGUCAAUUGUGGAUUGUCAGAUGACCGAGUUUGUGAGGGUUUGCAAGUCUGCCCUGAAGACUUUCCACGAGUGUUGGGCGAGGACUGUGUAUCCUUAGCUCAAGAAGAAUACGGUAGGGACUGUGUGUCCUUGUGGUUUCAAUACCAAGUCGCUCUAAACCAGACAUACAACUGUCACACCAGUUGGAACUGGGUCAUCAACAAUUGUCUUCAUCAAGCUACGGGUUAUAUUUCUUCAACUCUUUCAUUUCCUCAAAUUGUAUGUUGAAGACUUUCAUCUGUGUUUUUUGAAGAAUUUGUCUGAAGACUUUCUAUGAAUUUCCUCAACCUCAAAUUCUUCACUUGAGUUAAUAUUCACCUGCGUGCUCUCUACUUGCGAACUAUGAAAACCAAAUCUCAUAAACUUCAUUGAGUACUUUGUUGUAGUCAUUCAUUAUUUAGGACUUCCCUCACAAGGAAUUUCCUCAGUGAUGAAAUUCUAAAAAUCGCCUAUUCACCCCCCCCUCUAGUCGAUAUAACGCACAUUCAGUGUCGAUAUUAAGAGAUGUUAAACUUCUUGUUCAUCUAAAAAUUAGAAGGGCAUGGUGAUGAUGUGUGAGCAUUUGUAUUCCUUGUUAAAAUCCUAGUGUUGUUUUGAGUCGGAGUCGCGCAAUGGUUAAUUCCUACCAACCCUCUCCCUCGGGGCAUGCGAGUAGUACUUCGAUUUGUGAUAAAACUAAUAAAACUUUGGAAUAAGUAUAUGAGUUCUUUACUACUAAUGUGACACCAUGGACAUUCGCAAUCUUACCUCCUCAUAUUUGCUAGCCACUUCGGCACUGUGCAUCGCCUGUUCUCACCAAGAGGAUUGGUGCAACUUUCGCUGGUGCAUCCAAACCCUGUGACAUGACACGCUCUGUUGCACAUAAGCCUUUUAAUAUCCUUCUCAAAAUAUACACCACACCUACCUAUCAUGGCAUUUCCAUAGCCAUUUCAAGAUAUAUUGUCAUGCAAAUGCCAUCGUCACUACACAUAACUAGUUCGUUCAUCAUCAUAUUGCUUUGCAUGAUCAUACAGAGCUGCCAUAGUAUUUGUGGCAAAGCCACCAUUCAUUAUAGCAUUUUUGGCAAAUCCACCAUUCAUCAUAUGUUGAAUACUGAGGGAUCGAUACAAGGUGUGUCUAGAGGGGGUGAAUAGACUACUUGACAAGAUUAAAAUCCUAUCCUUUUACCAAUUUUAUGGUUGGUAGAUUUUAGCAAUUCUAACAAGUCUAGUACACCCUACACAUGCUAGUCAACAUAUAUGGCAACGGAAAAGUUUAGGAGAUCAAACACAAAGAAGUUGACACGGCGAUUUUUGGCAUGGUUCCAAUAGGUGGCGCUAUCACACGUCCAUGUUCGUGGAGACUUCAACCCACGAAUGGUAAAGGCAGUGAGAGUCCACGGAGGGCUCCACCCAUAAGGAGUCCAUGAAGAAGUGGCCUUGUCUAUUCCAUCACAGCUUCCGCCCACGAAGGACUAGCCUUACUCAUGGUAUAACUUCACGAAGUAGGCGAUCUCCUUGCCCUUACAAACAUCUUGGUUCAACUCCACAACCCGAAGUAGGAGGCUCCCAAGCGACACCUAACCAAUCUAGGAGGCACAACCCUCCAAAAGGUAAUAGAUGUGGUAGAACGAUGAACUCCCUGAUCUUGUGCUUCUAAAGAUAGUCUCCUCAACACAAAAUCACUCUCUCACAGGAUAAGCAUGGGUAGGAGAGAUUGAUUUGGUGGAAAGAAACUUGAGGAGACUAAAGAUCAAGUUUCAAAUAAUUGGAUUGGAAUAUCUUGGUCUCAACACAUGAAUAUCUUGGGGAGGCUCUCUCUCAGAAAAAUGCAUCUGGCAAUGAAGUCUGUGUUCUGAGUGCUUGCUCUAUGAAUGAGAGGUAAGUGUAGGGAUAUAUAUAGGUUGUCCCCAAAAUCCAACCGUUACACCUAAAGUGGCCAACUCGGUGACACCGAAGUCAUCAACUUGGUGGUACCGACUUGCACUAAAGGCAGCAACUUUCGAAUCUCGGUGGAACCGAUAUACACAACUCGGUGGCACCGAAAAGGUGGCUGACGGUCAUAUGACACAACUCGGUGACAUCGAUACUCAAACUCGGAAAUUCUGAUAUUGUGUACCGAGGCAACAAAAAGUUGGUCACCUAAACUUGGUAGCACCGAUAUGGUUUCGGUUGCACCGAUUUGGUGGGCUUGGCUAGGGUUUUGUCUGGGAUGAAACUCUAUAGUGCCGAAUCUGAAAACUUGGUGGCAUCUAAUUUGAGUGCUUCGUUUUGGACAAAAUGGUUGUGUGGGAAAAAUGACUGCGUAUUUUGGUGGCUAUCUCCGAGCACUUGAGCAACCAGUUCAUUUUAAUACCUCACCCCCUUUUAAUAGUAUUGGCUUUCCUAUGGACUCAAAAGUGAUUUCUCACAAAUAUAAAAUGAAGAGUCUUCUAGCUUGAAGCUUCCGCCAAUCUUAUUCCUUUCUUGCAUCAAGGGGAAACUCCACAUAAUCCUUUAGCCAAUGCUCUCUAUGGACUAUUCCUUAAAUAUACUAGGUAAAAGUAUUAGUCCAAGAGACAAUGUAUGUUUUCAUGAAUUAUCAAAACCACCAAGGGAGCAUAUGUGCUUUCAAUCUCCCCCUUUUUGGUAAUUGAUGACAACAUACAAUCAAAGCUUCAAAUAAGGAUAGAUAUUAGAAUAUGACAGCUUUGAAAGAUACAUGACUAGUACAAGCUCCCCCUAAAUGUGUGCAAUCCUUUUUUUAAAUGAUAGUUGCUUUGGACUUCAUGGGCACACACAUGGUAGAAGGACAAGACAAGUCAUAUAGGUCUUGGCUAUAUGCAUCAGACAUAAGUGAGGGAAGAGCUUCCAUGUUCAAGACUCCCUCUUGCAAACAAUAUGUGCAAGAAACAAGAGAUCGUCAUGAACAAGGAUAUGAUGCAUAUACUUACCUUGAGGAUCUUGAGAAUCUUAGAAAUAGGAGUACACUUGGGAAAACAAUUAUUAGAUAACACUAGAGUAUUCUAAUGUAAAGAUGCAAAGAGCUUCAAAAUUACCAAGAUAUUGAAGGCAUAUUGAAAAUAAGAUUUGACGAUAGAUAUGUCUCCAAGAGAAAUAAGAACUUUCACCCCUAAGGAUGAAUAUGUAAGAAUUUCCUCUCCCCCUGCACCAUAGCAUGUAGAUACUGGGAGAAGGUAGGGUAGGACAAGUUCAAUCUCUCAACAGUUUUAUCUCUCUCCCCUUAAUAUCUAAGGUUUGAUAUAUUUCGCCUGAGGUAGAUCUCCUCUUACGUAGACCUUCCUUUAGGAAUGAAUAUCUCCCCCCUAUUGAUAUUUGUCCCUUUGUAUGUAAGCUUAUUGGAGAUAUUUCUCCCCUAUAAAUAGGUUCAUUGGAAGCUUUGAUAUUUCUCCCCCUUUGGCAUUAAUUUCCAAAAGGGUUAGAGGGUUAGGGCUCAUUGAGAGAAAGGGGUCAUGGAUUCAUCUCUUUCUUAGAAGGGUUCCUUGAAAUAAUUCUCUCCCUUAGAUACAGAUAUGAUUUCAUUGAUUCAUCUCCCCCUUAGGUAUAAGUAAGAGUUCAUUGAAAGAUCCCCCCAUGUAAUAUGGAUAAGAGUUCCUAGAAAGAUAUCCCCCUGUUUGGUAAGGAUCCUGGAUGUUUCUCCCUCUUACAUUGUGGGAUCACUGAGACUUCUCUCUCUUUUUGAAGAUUUAUCCUCCGUUGAAAAGUAUGGGAAAAGGAUUAUAUCCUCCUUCAAAAAGUGAUAGGUUCAAUAAAACUCCGGACAUUAUAAACUUGGGAUCACAGAAAAUAUUUCUCUCCCUUUGGCAAAUAUUCAGAAAAUUUCUAGAAAGAAUGAUAAGCAGCGAUAAUUUUCAGAGUCACUAAGGCAUGGUGAUUCGGUAGAACCGAGUAUAUGAAAUAGGCCUUUGGAAGUAAUCGGUGGGACCGAUUAUUCCACAUUGGUGAAAUCGAGUUGCAUUGUAGAUCAACUCCUUGAAUAGAUACCAGAUGAGAAAUUCUAAUGGAGGCAGAACAAUAAAAGAUACAAAUUGUAGGAUAAAUCUAUACCUAAUAAUAAAGCGGCUAUUGCUUCCAUCGGAAAACCCACCGUGGAUUUUUUAUAAAAAAGCCCCUGUAAUUUUUGUUAUUCAACCCGCGCUCCAUCAUUUAUCUGCAACGCAAAAGGAAAAAACGAUUCGCUGCAAAAAUUAUACCCGUACGCAUCGCCUCCUCCCGUCGACCCUGCGCCACCCUGUCCUGUGCCCAGGCCGCCGCCACACCACUCGUCGCCGUGGCCGACCUCAACCGCCACCGCUGCCGAUCUCAACCCACCCGCCUCCGCGGCCGUACCUCUCCCCGCUCACUGCCCCCGUUGCGGCGCUCGAGCGCAUCGCGUCGACCCUGGUCCACCCUGGCCUGUGCCCAGGACGCUGCCACACCACUCGCUCUCGCGGCCGACCUCAACCACCACUGUUGUCGAUCUCAACCCACCCGCCUCCGCGGCUGUACCUCUGCCCGCUUGCUUCCCCCGUUUCGGUGCUCGAGCACAGCUUCUGGAUCAAAUCAACGCGACAGCUACAGUGACUGGGGAUGAUGUGUCUGCUCGAUGCAGAACGGCGGCAGCGCACGUAUAAGGUGCGGCAGAGCGAAGUACUUGCAGGUGGAGGCCGCCCUCCAUGGCUCACACGGGGAACUCCGAGGUUAUGUCGCAACAACGGCGACUCCUUAUAGCCAGAUAGAGGCGCCUAACCCUUGCUCCCCUCAUCGUAUCCCCUCCUCUGGCUAGAACUCAUCAUCUGGUGAGAUCCCCUCCCCAUGCCUCCAACCGUGUGCCAACCACCAGCAAGAAAUUUUGUUUUGUGGGGAUUUGUUUGCUGAUGAAUGAAUGUAUUGAAUGUAAGAUUGUAUUGUUGUAGAGACAGAGAAUGGAACACCACCUUCAGUUUGUCAUCUGAUCCCACAUUCUCUACCCCAUGAGUUCAAUUUCUCAUCAUCUAGAUAACAGUCCAUUGAUCAAUUCACGUAGCCUCUUUGUUUUGCUUUGCUUGUCCCGCUCAAUUUCUCAUCAUGGUGGAAUUAACGAUGGACGGGUUGAUUUGUCAACAAAAUAGGAUAGAAGUGACUACAUUAGUUAGUUAGCUUAUUAUUUUAAUAAACCAAAAUGAUUAUAAAAAGAUUAAAAGCGUGUGGUGUUUUUUCUCCCGUUGCAACGCACGGGCCCUUUUGCUAGUACAUAAAAAACUACAAAUAAGAAAUUUCAGGAUAGCAUAGUAAAGAAAUACAUUUUUUUGAAAAUAUAUACAUACAUUUAGAUGAGAGUUGAAUGGUUCCAAGGAGUAUGCAAACAAAGAUGUGAACCAUAGUAGAAACUCCAUCUAGAUGUAGGGCGGUGACUAGGUCACCUGUAUUAGAGCAUUUGACUUGAGGAGUCAAGCAAGAAUGCUUGAUGAUAGGUCAUACUCAUCGUUAAGCACGAAAUGGGGUUACCAUUUUUCGAUCAAGAAUUCCAGUGUCUUCAUAUCACUUGAGGUGCUUUACCUCAUGAAUUGGUGUAAAGCUUUAUCAAGGAUAUGGGUACAUACCUUCGAAUGAUGUUGAUGACGUGGUAUGUAGGUGAACUUGUUGUGGAUGCUCAAAGUAGAUGAAGAUCAUCUUGAGUUGGGAGCAAUCCUUGUCGUUUUGGUUCGCUUUUCACCUACAAUGGUUAGUCAUGCAAGGAAAACCAUAAUAUAUCCAAAUGACAAGAGUGAAUGAAUUCAUCAAAUGAUAGUCAAGGAUAUGAUUUUGUUAUCUUCUUUCUCCAUCUCCGAAGAAAGAGGUUGUUGAUACUUGGCCAUGUCAAGAUUGAUUUUGAUGAGAGUUCAUGGCAAUCUUGUGCAGUGUAGUUCUUCCAAGUACCUACAAAAGAUUAGAUGUAAUACAAGGGAGCAUAGUUUCCAAGAUAUAAGAUAGUCAUAGCAUCAAGGAAUAGUCAAUCAAGCGCAUGCCCUUGCAUGCAUCCGAGUGAGUCUAGCUCAAGUUUUAAGCAUCAAUGAUGUUCAACUCACUCCUCAAAUGAAAAAACACUUUCUCAUCAAGCAGUUUUGUAAAGAUAUCAGCUAAUUGUUUGUAAUUACGAACAUGCUUGAGAUCUAUAUCUCCUUUACCAACAUGAUCACGAAUGAAAUGAUGUCGCACCUAAAUAUGUUUUGUUCGAUAAUGUUGCACAGGAUUAUAGGCAAUUUUAAUAGCACUUUCAUUGUCACAUAACAAUGGAACUUUUCUAACAUGAAUGCCAUAAUCCUUAAGAGUUUGAGUCAUCCAUAGUAAUUGCGCACAACAUGAUCCAACGGCUAUAUAUUCAGCUUCGGUAGUAGAUAAUGAUAACGAGUUUUGCUUCUUGGAUGACCAAGACACAAGAGAUCUCCCAAGAAAUUGACAUGUACCCGAGGUGGAUUUUCUAUCAACCUUGUGUGUGGAAUAGUCCGAGUCAGAAUAGCCAACAAGAUUAAGAGAAGAUCCCUUCGGAUACCAUAUACCAAAGUUUGGUGUAUGUAUGAGGUAUCUCACUAUUCUUUUUACAGCCAAUAGAUGACACUCUUUUGGUGAUGCUUGAUAUCGGGCACACAUGCGAAAAAUCAACAUGAUAUCAAGACGGGAGGCACAUAGAUAUAGCAAUGAACGAAUCAUUGAUCGAUAAACCUUUUGAUCAACAGGUUUGUCCUCCUUAGUGAGGUCAAGAUGUCCACUAGUAGGCAUGGGGGUUCUCGUACCUUUGCAUUCUUGCAUGUUGAACUUCCUGAUUAAGUCCUUGGUGUACUUGGUUUGAGAGAUAAAUGUACUUUCUCUCGAUUGUUUGAUUUGCAAUCUAAGGAAGAAUUUCAGCUCGCACAUCAAUGACAUCUCAUAUUUCUCUGACAUCAACUUUCCAAACUUUUCACUAAAAUGUGGGUUAGUAGAACCAAAGAUAAUAUCAUCCACAUAUAUUUGGCAUACAAAUAGUUCUCCAUUAACUCUUUUAGUGAAUAUAAGGUUUCAUCAAUUUUACCAAUCUCAAAACCCUUUUCAAUGAGAAACUUCAUUGGGCAUUUGUACCAAGCUCUAGGGGCUUGUUUAAGUCCAUAUAAAUCUUUACGAAGUUUGUAAAAUGAUUAGGUUUCUUAGGGUUCACAAUUCUGGGAGGUUGUUUAACAUAAACUUCCUCCUUAGUUUCACCAUUUAGAAAAGCACUUUUGAUAUCCAUUUGGUAAAUAUUAAUAUCAUGGUGAUUGGCAUAAGAGAGAAAUAUGUGAAUGGCUUCAAGUCUAGCAACGGGGGCAUAAGUCUCACCAUAGUCCAUACCUUCGACUUGCGUGUACCCUUGGGCUACGAGAUGUGCCUUGUUGCAUACAACUUGUCCAUCUACAUCUUGCUUGUUCCGAAACACCCAUAUUGUACCAAUUAUGUUUUUCUCGCCUUCGGGCUUUUCAACAAGUGUCCAUACUUGAUUCCUCUCAAAGUUGUGUAGCUCUUCAUGCAUGGCAUUCACCCAAUCCGGGUCUUGAAGGGAUUCUUCAACCUUCAAAGGUUCAAUGCUAGAGAUGAAAGAAUAAUGAUCACAAAAGUUAGCUAAACGAGAUUUAGAGCGAGUGAUUCUCCCGGUUUUUAUGUCACCGUAGAUUUGACUCAACGGAUGAUCUUUGUCCACUCUUGAUCUAACUCUUGACAGCUUCUUCUUGUUGGAUGGUGGAUCUUCUUCAUCAUCAUCAUCUUGCACGUUGUCGUUGACGUCAUCAUCUCCUUGAGAUUGUGGUGAGGAAGGUUGAGGUGGAUCAUCACGAUCUACUUCUUCCUCUUCUUCAACAUGCCGUGUACCGCUUGUGGAUGCUUCCAUGUCGUUUUGUGGUUCGCCUUGACGCAAAGUAGGAGCUUCGACUUGAGUUGAUGAAGCACUUUCCUUCACCUCCAUGGGACAAAUAUUGCCAAUAGAUAAAUCUUUGAUGGCUUCUGAAGGUUCCUUAUGUGCUACAUCAUUUGGCAAUUGUUCGACUUGCGAACAAUUAGUCUCAUAAAACUUCACAUGUAACGUCUCUUCUACUUUUUGAGUGAAGUUGUUGUAGACAUGGUAAGUGUGAGAGUUCGAUCCGUAACCGAGUAGGAAACCUUCAUAACAUUUAGGAGCAAAUUUAGAGCGACGAUGCUUAUCAAGAAUAUAGCACUUAGAGUCGAAUACCCGAAAGUAUGCAACUUUGGGUUUGUUACUAGUGAGUAGCUCAUAUGCCGUUUUACAGAGAAGCUUGUGUAGAUAGAGUCGGUUUAUGGCAUGACAAGCUGUUUCCACGGCUUCUGCCCAGAAGUGUCUUGGAGUCUUGUAGUCAUUAAGCAUCGUUCUGACCAUCUCUAUGAGAGUCCGAUUCUUCCUCUCAACAACUCCAUUUUCUUGAGGUGUGUACGUCAAAGAUAACUCAUGUGAGAUACCUACUUUGUCAAGAAAAGUAUCCACAUUAGUGUUCUUGAACUCCGUUCCAUUAUCGCUCUGAACUUUCUUGAUCUUCACUUCAAACUGAUUUUGAGCUUUCCGAGCAAAGUUCUUGAAGAUCUUUUGUACCUGCGAUUUAUCAUCAAGAAAGAAUACCCACGUAAAUCUGGAAAAAUCAUCAACAAUGACUAAGCCAUUAGAAUGUCCACCGAGGCUCUUGAAGAAUCGAGACCAAAGAGAUCCAUGUGAAGCAGCUUAAGAGGUCUUAUUGUAGUCAUGAUGUUCUUCAUGAGAUGACUUCCACCAACUUGAUUUCCUGCUUGACAAGCAUUACAAAUUUUAUCUUUGUCAAAGAUAGCAUCUUUAACACCAAGAAUAUGAUCACCCUUGAUAAGUUUGUCAAGAUUAUGCAUACCUACAUGUCCUAACCUUCUAUGCCAUAACCAACCUUUAGAAGAUUUAGCAAUAAGUCUUGUACAGGGUUUGGAUUUCUUAGUGAAAUCGACAAUGUAUAAAUCACCUCUAUAGAAACCAGUAAAGACCAUGUUAUGAUUGUCACUACGAAACACUUGGCAGUCAACUUUCAUAAAUAGCACAUUGAAACCAAAGUCUGCUAGUCUAGAUACGAAAAGUAGAUUGUAUCCAAGGGAUUCAACAAGCAUGACAUUUUGAAUGGAACUAUCAUGAGAUAUGGCCACUUUACCAAGACCAAGUACCUUAUCGUUGGAGUUGUCUCCAAAGGUCACAUACCUUCGAUGUCCACGGUUUCGUGUGAUCUCAUGGAACAUGUCUUUAUCUCCAGUCAUGUGAUCGAUGCAUUCACUGUCGAGAACCCACUCCUUUCCUCCGGCCAUGUAGUUUCUAAGGUUUGCCAUAAGACUAAGGUUCCUCAUGGUCUUCUCAUACUCAAUGUCAAACUCCUUGUCUUCAUUGUAGUAGUCGUGCUCCACAUUGUCAUUGUCACAAGAAAUAUCCUCGUCAUAACAAACAAGAAUUUCAUCAGAAUUUUUACUAUGACAAUGUUCAUAUUUAUGCAUGCGAAUGGCUUCAACAAUGAUAUUGUUAAUAGUAAAGACAUCUCCUUUAGCACACAUGAGGUCACGAAGCUCAAAUAGACAUUUAUCAAAAUUAGGAUCGGUUGGCUUCAUUUUAUGAAAGGCAAUGCAUUUGUGGACAAUGAUAUCACGAUUUUUCAAGGAAUAAUUUGGAUAUCUUUCCUCUAAAUCUUUCCACAAAGUGUGAGCACACUCAAAAUUUUCCAAUUGAUUAAGCACAUUCCUUGGCAGUCCUCUAAUGAUUAGAUUAACAGUGUUAAGAUUACCAAGCAUAUCAAUUUCAUCAUCAUGAGAAGGACGUAUGGGGUCAAUGGGAGGCCCAUAGGGACAUUCAACAUACUUGUGCAAAUGGAACUCAUCAAAUAUAUCAAGCAUUUCAUCUUUCCAUGGUCUACGAUACUCCCCAUCAAGAAUAGGCACUCUACAACUAAAGAUCCCGGAACUAGUCACAUUCAUCUUCCUCCAACAGCGAUUAAACCAAGGUUUUGGAGACCUUGCUCUGAUACCAAUUGAGGGAUCGAUAGAAGAUGUGUUUAGAGGGGGGUGAAUAGACUACUUGACAAGAUUAAAAUCCUAGCCUUUUCCCAAUUUUAUGGUUGGCACAUUUUAGCAAUUCUAACAAGUCUAGUAUACCCUACACAUGCUAGUUAACAUAUAUGGCAGCAGAAAAGUAAAGACUUUGCGCAUAUAAAGGAGUAGAGUUUAGGAGAUCAAAUGCAAAGAUGUUGACAUGGUGAUUUUUUGGAUGGUUUCGAUAGGUGGCGCUAUCGUACGUCCAUGUUAGUGGAGACUUGAACCCACGGAGGGUAACGGCUGCGAGAGUCCACGGAGGGCUUCACCCACAAGGGCUCCACGAAGAAGUGGCCUUGUCUAUUCCACCACGACUUUCGCCCACGAAGGACUAGCCUUACUCACGGUAGAUCUUCACAAAGUAGGCGAUCUCCUUGCCCUUACAAACAUCUUGGUUCAACUCCACAACACGAAAUAGGAGGCUCCCAAGCGACACCUAACCAAUCUAGGAGGCACCACCCUCCGAAAGGUAAUAGAUGUGGUAGAACGAUGAACUCCUUGAUCUUGUGCUUUUAAAGAUAGUCUCCUCAACACAAAAUCACUCUGUCACAGGAUAGGCAUGGGUAGGAGAGAUUGAUUUGGUGCAAAGCAACUUGGGGAGGCUAGAGAUCAAGUUUCAAAUGAUGGGAUUGGAAUAUCUUGGUCUCAACACAUGAGUAGGUGGCUCUCUCUCAGAAAAUGGAUAUGGCAAUGACGUGUGUGUUCUGAGUGCUUCCGCUACGAAUGAGAGGUAAGUGGAAGGGGUAUAUAUAGGCUGUCGCCAAAAUCUAACCGUUACACCUAAAGUGGCUAACUUGGUGACACCGAAGUCAUGAACUCGAUGGUACCGACUUGCACUAAAGGUAGCAACUUUUGAAUCUCGGUGGAACCGAUAUACACAACUCGGUGGCACCGAAAAGGUGGCUAACGGUCAGAUGACACAACUUGGUGACACCGAUACUCAAACUCGGAAUUUCUGAUUUUGUGUACCGAGGAAAUAGAAAGUUGGUCACCUGAACUCGGUAGCACCGAUAUGUUUUCGGUUAAACGAUUUGGUGGGUUUGGCUAGGGUUCUGUAUGGGAUGAAACUCGGUAGUGCCGAAUCUGAAAACUUGGUGGCACCGAAUUUGAGUGUGUGGUUUUGGGCAAAAUGGUUAUGUGCGAAAAAAUGACUGAGUAUUUUGGUGGCUAUCUGUGAUCACUUGAGCAACCAGUUCAUUUUAAUACCUCACCCCUUCCCAUCACAUGCAUGUUUUCCAUCUAUUUUUUUCUCCCAACCGAAUACUUUGUAAUUAGCACUCGAUGACUUCCUUCCGUAUCAUGUUCGUGGACUACAUUUAAUCACAAAAACAGACAUAUACCAAACAAAUUUAUGGACCGGUGUUGGAGACACACAUUGACACCACACACACCCCUUGAUGGAGGAAAGGGCACAUUGCUUCAAAUAUUCAUCGAAGAUAAAGAUGGAAGUCAUCAAACUCACGUUAGUUUUAUACCCUUUUAGUUUUUAUUUACUUCGUAUAUUAGCUUUAACCUGAGUCAAUACUUGUAAAGUUUAAGCAGGGUUUUUUAAAUCAUCUAAACUUUGAGUAUAAAAAAUAUAUAUAUGAUAUGAAAAUAUAUUGAAUGACGAUUUCAAUUGUAUUUGAUUUUUUAUAAACUUGGUCAAAGUUUUAAAAAUUUAAAUCAAGACAAAGCUAAAAUGUGAAGUCUCCCCUAACAAUAAAGCGCGCAGCGCUUCUGGCAUCCGUCGUCGGUCAUUUUGCAUAAAAGCCCUCGCAGUUUCAGGUAAUUAACCCGCAGUCCAAUUUUAAGUAAGAACGAACCGUUUUUUUGUCAUUUUGCAGAAAAGUCCUCACAAUUUUAGAUAAUCAACCCGCGGUCCAUCUUUUAGUCACAGCCGAACCUUUUUUUGCAUUUUUCAGAAAAAUCCUUGAUGUUUCACGUAAUUAACCCGCCGUCCCUAUUUAAGUCAGCCAAAACGUUUUUUUAUUUUAACAAAAAAAAACCUGACUUUUUAGUUAAUCAAUCCAUAUUUUAUUUAAAACAAAAUUAUUCAUAUCUUUUAAAACGUAACUUCGAUUUUAACAUGUUAUAUAUGAAAUUUGAUUGAAAAAAUGUGUAGAAUCUAAAUAGGAUGUUAUUUUUAGCUGUUGAAUACUUCUUAAAUAUUAUUUUUGGUGCAAACUUAAUCUGUAGUGCACGGUCCUUUUUUUCCUCUCUUUCCAGCGACCCUACGAAUUGCAAUAAAUAUCCAUUAAAUUAAAAUCAAAUUGACAGGAAAGAAAACAUCGUUAAUCACACAUGCACACCUUUAGAAAAUCUCGUGAGAAGAAACAACAUAUUUCUCAUCUUAUUCCGAGUAAUUAUACAUUUAAACACGUUUUCGUUGUGUGAGCACUGAGGCCAUCGUCGACAACACAAAUGUGAUGCCAUGUGAAAAUAUAUUGUGUUCAAAGCGUGUGUUAUUUUCUUUUUCGUUGCAACGCACGGGUUUUUUUGCUAGUAAAUAAACAUGGAUGUAGUACUCCUCAAAUCACUCCACCUCGCCAACAAUGGCCUCAACCCUGACCUAGGAAGUGUCACUGCGCCUCUUGCCGGCAGAGUUAACCACGUCAGCGAGACUACACCCACCUCCGCCGCCGCAUUUCUCCUCGUCCAACGAACCGCCCACCUCCGUCUCUCCCGCAUCCGCAACAGCCUCAACCGACGACGGGCCCUCGUCGUCGUCACGCACAGCUUCUGCCACCUUCCCUUUCUUACGCGUGAGGAGCAUCUGUUCAGCCACGAGGUCGAGUUCACUCCCAGAGCUCUUCCCCACCUGCAGGUCAGGGGCGGUGCUCCUCGUGGUGGCCGAGACAGAGACCGCCGGCGACUCCGCCGGGUCCACCAGGAACAUGUCCGGGUCGAAUUGAUCCUGGCUCGAGGAGGCGAAGCUGUGGAAGAACAACCCGUUGCCUGCCGCCGCCGAGGACGACGACGUCGACGACGCGAAGCAGUAGCUGGCCCCGGCCGCGCGCGCGUACAUCUGCUGCAUGGGCGUCGGCAUCCGGCCGAACGGCGGCGCCGCCGCGGCCGGGGCGAAGAAGGCGGCUCGGCCGCUGUAUCCGGCGAAGGAGCGGGGCGGUCCGGCCGCGAGUGCCAUCAUCAUCUGGGCGUUCCUUCUGGCGUGGAGCUCCGCGAGCAGCGCGUUGCGCUGGUUCCACGCCUCGUCCCUCUCCUGCGCCAUCCUGCGCGCGGCCGCGGCGAGCCUGCAGAUGGUCUCGUCCGCGUCGGCGGACACGGCACGCGUCUUGUGCAGCUCCAGCCUCGUGCAGUAGAGCUUCUCCUCCAGAGCGCUGCGCUCCUGCAUGCAGACGAAACAAAACGUUUGUUAUCACAUUUUCUUAGAAGUUUAGAACACGGCUUCACGGCGCACCCAUUUUCAUGUAUGGCCAAUUGGUCAUGCAUGUAGCAGAAUCACUUCCACACGAACUUGUUGUGCACAAAAAACAACAUGAACUGCAAUAUGCAUGCUCCAUCUGUCGAGAAUUCAUGCAGCAUGGAGGCACGAAGGGAGAGACUAACCUCUUCAUCUUGGGCGGCGAGCGGCGCCGAUUUACCUUUUCCCACAAGGCUCUGCUCCGCCCCGCUGUUCCCCAUGGCGAGACGCCUCCCUCCCCUGUUUCCUGGGACGAUCCACCGCGUUAUAUCGCCUGUCUCCCCAGAUGGCAGCAGCGCGCACCUUCCUUCGCCGGCGAAGGUGGGAUCGGACUGGGGGGGGGACAAGGAAUGUAUCAGCAUCAUGUAUGGAAAACGCGAUCGCAGGAAGGAAUGCGUAUAUCAGCCUUGAAGCCCCUGCCAUACUUGCAACGGAUGCGGAUGCGGAUCCCAUCCCGGCGACUGUUCGCCGUUGGCCUUCCUCCUCAUAACUUGGCCCCACCGCCGUGUACGGUGUACCAGCCUUGUCGUCUCCUCUCGCGUCCAUGGCUUCGAGGUUAAUUGCAGGGAAUUAUCACAUUUUUAUAACGAAUCAGUGUUAUUAGUUGUGUUUAUCGCAAAUCAGUACUCCGAGUUUACAGAGAUUUUACAGACAGGUACAUUUUGACCGAAGGAGUCCUCCUAACCAUCCAACCUUAAAUUGGUUUGCAAGCUUAAUUACGACUAUCAUUUUAAGGCCUAAGUGUUUUCAGGUGCGUGUCAUUUUUUUGCAAAAGGAAAAUCAUAGUUUUUAUUUAAUCUUGUAUGUAUCCUUGUUUACAAGAAAAAAAGGUUGGGCUGAGGAAACGUCGCGCCCCUAAACCGGAAUCCAAUACCGUGACGUGGUGUAUGCAACACGCACUCGCUAUCGCUGCGCUACAGCCAAUGAUGAAUCUAGCAUGAUAAUGAAGGGUAGGUUCAAAACAUUAAUUUAGUGAGCCUAAUUAGCAAAUACAUUGCAAUUGUUGCAUGUAAAGCAUAUCAAUACAAUUUGUAAAGUGGUAUAUUUAGCUGAAAUAGAAUUAUGAAGGGUAAGCUUAACCCUAUCGAAGCUCACUUAGUAGACUCGCCACUAGCUACAACAAGAUUUGCUUAAUUUGAAUCCGGAUUUCCUUUAUACUUUAUAUACAGUUUCGUCUUUUAUCAAAACAAAAUAAACAAGCGUCCGCAAGGGUCGGGAUUCAAUCCUGAGCCGAGGAGAUGAAACCGCAAUGUCGCUAUCGCCGGGCCACUCAAUCUUUCACGUAAAUUAAAGUGUACAGCUAUUUACACUAUGCCCUUCCGAUUUUGUGUAUAUACUUUUUUCCAUAUUUUUAUUAUCUUUUCCCAUACCAUGUGUAUUCUUUGGGCUGUAUACAUUGUCUUUAUUGUAUAUUAAAAAAAUAUACAUAUAUACACAUUGUAUUUUUAUAAAAAAAAGGCUAUCAUAUUUAAAAAAUAUAUUCACCUUAUAUUUAAAUAAAAUAAUUUUAUAUAGAAAAAUGUUCAAUAUAUAUACUAAAGGAUGUGACGAACAUUUGUUUUAUAUACGAUACACUUUUAUAUGAUGGAAUUUUUAAUGUAUGAUGCAAUGAACAUCUUUUUAAUUAUACGCUACUUUUUUAUAUGAUGAACUAUUUAAAAUGUUCAAUAAAAAUAAAAAAAGGUCAUCAUAUUUUUUAAAAGUGCUCAUCUUACGUUUAAAAAAGAUAAUUGUAUAUCAAAAAUAUACAACAUAUAUAUGCUAAAUGAUGUGACGAACAUUUGCUUCAUAUACGAUAUGGUUUUAUAUGAUUAAAUUUUUAUUAUAUGAUGCAAUGAACAUCCUUUUAAUUUUACCCUGUGCUUUUAUAUGAAGAAAUAUAAUAAAAAUGUUUGACCUAUAAAUAAAUAAUAUUUUUUAAUAUGUGAUUUAUAUAUAUAUACACACACAUAUAUAUACAUAUGUGUGUGUGGAUAAUUUUUCCAAUAUAUGAUACACACAAUGCGUACGGCCUGAAGAAUACCCAUAAUAUAAAAAAGAUAAGAAAAUCUAAAAAACCUAUAUACAAAAAAGACGGAACAGUCUAAGAUAUAAGGACAUGUACAAUGAUGCUACCAUAGGAGUGCCACAUAGGUUAAAUGAUGAGGUGAAGGAGAGAGAACUCGAAAAAAGGCUUUGACUUCUCUUAUUUAAGAGAAGACAAGAGGUUAUCUCUUAGUACAAUAUGUCUCACCAUGUUUUUAGGAAUAACUAAUUAUAAAAGAUAAGGCUAAGAAAUGAUUCAUUGUAAAAAAAAAUUUGUCAUCUCUAAAUUACAUGCAAGAUUUAAAAUAAGACUAUCUUAUCAACCAUUGUACAUGCCCUAAAGAGAUGUAUGCGUAGUAAUUGAUGUGAAAUAACUAGUGGCCGGAUGGUAGCAAGGUGCGGGGCGAGCGUCAUUUUCUGCUUUUUUUAUGGGACCUCCUAGAACUCACUUGACUGAGACAUAGAUUGGUCUCAGUCAGAUUACUAACUAGCAUCUUUUUUUGUCGUUAAGCUACCCUCUCCCCCUGGAGUAUCUGGGUUGUUGGACUGGGCUCAUAUGCUUGGUUAGGUCCCUUUGAACUUGUUUUUUAUAGAAAAAUGCUAACGUUCACACGUGUGGUACGAAACAACAUGGCGCAAACGCUUUUAUCAUCAUCCAUUUUAUUAUGUCAAAACAGAUGACAUUAACGAAUUUUUUUUGGUUUUGAUCUUAAAAGUAUUUUAUCUCCUAAUUAAAAAACUCAACUAAAAAUCAUUUUCACCAUUAAAUCCGUCUCGACGAGAUCUUCAAAACUAGAUCACAUGUUGAUAUGUUUUGAUGAAAAAACAAUUUGACCAAAAAUUGCCAUGAUGUUUACACAGUAGUUGCCAUAGUGUUUACUCUAAAGUUGCCGUAACAUGUUUUAUCUAUUUUUUCUUCUAGAUUUAAAGCUACCGUUAUAUUUUCAACUACUUUUUACGGUAAUUUUUAUUAAUUGACGAUGGCAAUUUUUAUCUCACGAGUCCAAUACAAGGUUAUUUUUCUGAAUAAUCAAUGAUCGUUCGAUGUAAGUUAUGUUAGAUGUGUAUAGCCCCUUUUCUGUAUAUCCCCAUUGUAUAAGGUUUUUUUAACCUUUUCCCACAUGUAUAUGUACUCGCCCUUGGCCCCAUGUGAAUGUUAGUUGCUCAUUCCUAAUGUGGUAUCAGAUGCUUAGGUUCUCUUCCCGCAUGUUGCAGCUUCGUGCUCUCCCCCUCCAUCGCCUGUGCUGCUGCUAGCUGCGAGCUAGCUGCUCCGGCCUCCCUGUAACAGCCUGAGACCGAUGCUCCUGUUGACACUCAAAAAGUGGCACAAAUCGUAAAAGUUACUUAAAUCUAUGUCAAGAUUAAUACAAACCUAUGAUUGGAAGUCACCAUGGGAUGGCUUUCUUCGAGAAGAUCAAGAUGGAUAUGAAGAUGAUCUAAAACGGAGCUCGGAUGCAAACGUUAUGACAAGUUCGGAGAUGCUCAUAUUGACACCAGAUUAAAGAAUGGCAUGAAACUCGAUUUAGAUCGAACGAUUAAUUAUGCGUCUCGUCGAAACGAUCGAUUUUGAUAUAAAGAUCAUUUCAAUCAGAGGUCGUAUGCAACCUAUGAAGCCAAAACAAGAUGAACAACAGAAGCUGCACAUGCAUUUCACAUCCACCGAGUUUUUUGACUCGGUGCCUCCGAGUUGACUUGGUAAUUACGAGAAAAAUCACUCGGGAAUUCCAAGUGAGAUGUAGAAGAUUACAGAAAGAUGGUCACGUUAACUCGGUGGAACCGAGAAAAAUCACUUGGUGGCUUCGAAUUGCUCCGAAAAAUUGCUAAAGUUUCCUGUCCGAGUUAGUUAGGGUUUUGGAUGGGAUUUUUAGCCCUUUUCUUGUAAAGGAAGUCCAGUCGCCUCAUAUAUAUGUGAGAGGUGACGUUCGAUUGGAUAACACACAAUCGAGCAAAUCAAUCUACUACUUUUUAUCCUAGUUUUUACAUCUCUCCCUUGUUCUUUCUCACUCGUUCUUCGCUCGUUCUUCGUGUUGGAGAGCCGCAAUCCUCGAGGCUCUAGGGGCAGGUGAACCAACCUAGGGCAGCCCAUAGCCGUCGUGCGUAUAGACGGGGUCCCUCCCGGGCAUAUGGGGUUUUGGGUCUUUAAAAGCGCCCACCGACUGUCUUGCGUAUAGUGUUGUCGGUCGGGUCUCCUUCGAAGUGAGCUGUGGUGCAUCACCCUCGGCGUUGGAGGUACACGGUGACGUGUUCGUGUGUCAACAGCUUUAGAAGAUUCCCCUUUUAUUCCGUUGCCACCCUGUGAUUUAAUUGUUUGUAGCAUUCAUCAUCGCAUCAUCCGCAUUGCAUCGGCACUCCGCUGCCGUCAAUUUUCAAAACUUGCAUCCGUUAUUAGUUGCUGGUUCUCUCCGUUUUCGUCGUUGACUGUUUUGAGACCAACCACACACGCACGCACCCGCGACAUGGAUAAAAUAGUUGUUUUUAAAAGUGUGUAUAAAAAUUUCUCGGAUUGGGUUAAAACUUGGCGUGCGGUCUUAUUAUAAUGUAGGUAGACCGCCUGCCAAAUUUCAUCGCAAUCAGAGUUCAUUUGAUACCCGUGCCGUGAUAUAUAUAGCGAGAUUAUAGCCGGUUUAAUAGUCAGACGUUUCGGUGUUUUAAAAAUCUGUUACGGGCCGCAUCAUUUUCCUCUCAUCCCUACAUAACCCAACUACACAGCCCACUAGACCCCCCAAUUCACUCCCUCCGUUUAUGGUCGUCGGACCGCGAUCAGACGGACGAGGUCCAUCCCACCAUAGACCAAACCCUAUAUAAAAACCACCCCAUGGGGAGAGCUCUCUCACUCCACUACGGUUUCCCCUAGACAAUUUGCAACCAUGCCCUAGAAAACCCCACUUGCUAGCUUCACCUCCUCUCUCCCCCGAAAUCCUACCCAGGGCUAAAUCUGGACCAUUGGAUCCCCAUCCAAUGGCCCAAAAAUCGCCCAGUCUCCCACCUACGGGACACGUCCGCCACCAACCGGACACGUCUGGGCGACAAGAGCCUCCCACGCAGCCUCUCCCUCUUGUACCCCACCUUGCUUUCCCCAUGGAACCAGCCAGCCAGUGCUCAUGUUUCUCCUCGGAUCCACCGCCGUCGUCCACCUCGCGCCACCAACUGCCCAAACUCCGAGACCCCACGAUCCCCGCAAGCUGCAGUGCCCUCUCAAGCAGGGAGCAGCAGCACGCGAGCAGCAGCAUCCGCCCAUGGAAGUCGCGAUGCAGGUCUAGUGCCUCGCCCGCGCCUCCCCUGUUUCUCCCUCUGUUCUGCUGCUCCUCAGAUUCCUCAUGUAACUCCUUCCUCUCUCUGUGUCCCUUUGGGCACAAGCAGGAGCACCCGAGCCAAGCCAUCCAUGGAGAUUCGUCGCCGCUGAAGCCGUUCGCCGCCGCGAAGACCCAGGCCCCGUCACAACCACGUCGAGAUGAUGUCCCCUGCAGCGCCAUGAGCCACCUGCAGACCUUCUCCCGUGGGCAACCUCGCCCGUCUCAGCCAUCCUCGCCUCCAAUUGGAGCUCCCUCCCUUGGGGAAUGGGUUCCGUGCCUCCGGAUGUGGCGGACCCCCCGCUUCCCCGCCGGCGCCCGUCCCCGACAGCCGCUCGCCCCGGACCUCCUCAAUGAGCAUCUUUGCCGCGUUUUUCUGCUCCUGUGUUGGUAAGACCCCCGUGCACUCGUGGAGCAGAGAACCCGCUGCUAUGUUAGUAUUGGUGGAAAUACCCCUGCUCAGCUAUCACAUGAACGAGCAUAGCGGAGCUGGUCAACCGCGAUUUUUGCUCAUGUUCCUUUUAUUGGUGCACAUCUACACCCUGUCGUAGUUCUGAUUCAUCUAGAAUAAAGUUCCUGUUAUAUCAAAAAUUGUGUGUAGCCGAGCUGGCCAGUGCGUUCAGACUCCACCAAGGGAUCUUGGGUUUGAAACUCAUGCACCCCUAUUUUGCCAUGUUCCUAUUUUAUUUUUGCACACACACAACGUUUGGGCUACCUAUUCGACUAGGCUUGCCUAGUAGAGUGCUUUCGGCUCAUGUAGUUUAUAUUUUUUUGUCCCAGCCACCUCAAUAUUAUUUUUUGCAUGCAUUUGGUAUCCAUGUCAUAUGAUCUUGUGUUGCUCGUAUCUUUUAGACCGUAACUUCGUUGGAGAUAAGCUAUAUAUGUAAACCGAUUAGAAUAACGUGUAGAUUCACGUGCUCCACUUUAUUUUUCCGUUUAACAAACAUAAAAUAUGAAGUUACACACACACAACGUUUGGGCUACGUAUUCGACUAGGCUUGCCUAGUAAAGUGCUUUCGGCCCAUGUAGUUUAUAUUUUUUUGGUCCCAGCCACCUCAAUAUUAUUUUUUGCAUGCAUUUGACAUCCAUGUCAUAUGAUCUUGUGUUGCUCGUAUCUUUUAGACCGUAACUUCGUUGGAGAUGAGCUAUAUAUGUAAACCGACUAGAAUAACGUGUAGAUUCACGUGCUCCACUUUAUUUUUCCGUUUAACAAACAUAAAAUAUGUUUAGGUAAGAUCUGGACAGAUUUCGAAAUUAACGUGCGCGGUCAUUUUGGAAAUGCUAUAUGAUGUUUCUGGCCUCAUUUAAAACAUAAAACAUGUUCAAGUCAGAUCUGGAUAAAUUUUGAAGUUAACGUGUGGGGUCGUUUCAGAAAUUCUAUAUGAUGUUUCCGGCCUCAUUUAAAAUGCCUAGAUAGGUAGUUUAUUUUUGUUUCACCUCUUGCCAUGCUUAAACAACAUUUAAUAUUGUCAUGUACCUAAACGAGAGUUAACUAAAUAAUUUGGAGGUGGAGUUUCGUCAAUAUGCAACCCAUUGCAUAUUGAGCUUCACUUAAUGUGUAGUGUUUGAUUGUUGUGAUUGCCAUGUCAUGUCUUGCAUAAUUGAAACCGACCAUGCAGCAUAUUUGGUUGUGCAUCAUAUCGUGCAUGUGUCGUGUUGAUUCUUGUUUCUGGUUUGCUUCUUCUCACUAGAGUUCUGCAAGCGUGUCGGAAUGUGAGGAUCCGUUCGACUACGUUGGUUUGUAUGCUUCACGUAUUCGUUCUUCUUCCAAGCGGGAUCAUAGGCAAGAUGACCAUUUCCUUAGAUACCAUUACUAUCACUGCCAUGCUAGUUGUAUCGUUUGUUUCGCUGUGUCUCGCUGCCUACCACAUGUUUAUUAAGCCUCCCAACAUUGCCAUGAAAAGCCUCUAACCUUUCCACAACCCAGCAAACCACUGUUUGGCUAUGUUACCGCUUGCUCAACCUUCUUAUAGCGUUGCUAGUUGCAAGUGCAGUUGCUUCCAUGUUCCAACAUGGUUCUUCGUUAAAUCACCAUAUUUUCUAAUUAAUUUAAUGCACCUAUAUAGUUGGUAAAAGGUGGAAGGCUUGGCUUUCUAGCCUGGUGUUUUAUUCCAUCUUUUCCACCUUAGUUUCGGCUAUUGUGUUAUGUUCCAUAAAUGAGCGCUCCAAACAUGCUUGGGGUUGUUAUGGGGACCCCCUAGAUUUUUGUUUUGGAAUAAAACUCGUCUGGCAAGACCCAACAUUGGUACUAUAUUUGUCCAACGUAAUAAUACUGAACACCGUUAAAAAGCAUAGGGUAUCAUGAACCCGAGGAGUAAUUUGACAUAAUACAGGGGGGCUAGUGCUGCUGGUGUUGGCCCAAACUAGAGCCGUUUGUGGGGCCAACCUGGGGCAACUCGGGAGAUUUCUAUCAGGCCACCGUACGUUGUGCUUAUCCGGCGUGUCUUGAGACCGAGAUACGCGCCUUCUAUCGGGAUCAUCACACGCCCGGCGGCCUUGCUUGACUUGUUUUACUUUUCUUGAGUGUCUUGUGCAUCGGGAUUUCGGUCAUGCUUUCGGCUAUUCCAGAGUUGAAGUUUUCCACUAAGGGAUCCGAGGAGAUCACGAGAUUCAUGGUCGAGGGUUUCUAUGCAUCUUGUGGUAGUUUGUGAUGGACUAGUUGGAGCACCCCUUCAGGAUUAAAUCUUUCGGAAAGCCAUGCCCGUGGUUAUGUGGCAAACUUGGAAACUUUGUUUAACAUCAUGUUCUAGAUAAUUUGCAGUAAACUUAAUUACAACUUGCCAACUGUUUGCGUAACCGUGAUUGUCUCUUCUCGUGAGUUCUUCAUCCGGAAGAUGACACGGUGGGGUUAUGUGUGAUGUAAGUAGGUGUUCACAAUCAUUCAUUUGAUCAUUAUUAGUUCACGUACGUUAUGCGUAGAUCACCCCCUUUUAUUCUUGUACUCGUAAGUUAGCCACUCAAAUAAAUGCUUAGUUGCUUGUUGUAGCCUCACCACUUAACCAUACCUCACCCAUUAAGUUUUGCUAGUCUUGAUACCUUUGGAAAUGAGAUUGCUGAGUCCCUGUGGCUCACAGACUACUACAACACCAGUUGCAGGUAUGGGUAAAGAGAUACUUUGAGGUGAGUACGAUGAUUGUUCUUUUGGAGUUUCUUCUUCUUCUUCUUCAUCGAUCUAGGUUGGGUUCCAAGCCGGUAGCCUAGGAUAGCAAGGAUAGACGUUGUGUUGGAAAUAUGCCUUAGAGGCAAUAAUAAAUUAGUUAUUAUUAUAUUUCUUUGUUCAUGAUAAUCGUUUAUUAUCCAUGCUAUAAUUGUAUUGAUUGGAAACACAAUACUUGUGUGGAUACAUAGACAAAACAUUGUCCCUAGUAAGCCUCUAGUUGACUAGCUCGUUGAUCAAAGAUGGUCAAGGUUUCCUGACCAUAGGCAAGUGUUGUCACUUGAUAACGGGACCACAUCAUUAGGAGAAUCAUGCGAUGGACUAGACCCAAACUAAAUGAAGGUAGCAUGUUGAUCGUGUCAUUUUGUUUCUACUGUUUUUUUGCGUGUCAAGUAUUUAUUCCUAUGACCAUGAGAUUAUAUAACUCACUGGCACCGGAGGAAUGCCUUGUGUGUAUCAAACGUCACAACGUAACUGGGUGGCUAUAAAGAUGCUCUACAGGUAUCUCCGAAGGUGUCCGUUGAGUUAGUAUGGAUCAAGACUGGGAUUUGUCACUCCGUGUGACGGAGAGGUAUCUCGGGGCCCACUCGGUAAUACAACAUCACACACAAGCCUUGCAAGCAAUGUGACUUAGUGUAAGUCAUGGGAUCUUGUAUUACGGAACGAGUAAAGAGACUUGUCGGUAAACGAGAUUAAAAUAGGUAUGCGGAUAAUGACGAUCGAAUCUCGGGCAAAUAACAUACCGAAGGACAAAGGGAAUGACAUACGGGAUUAUAUGAAUCCUUGGCACUGAGGUUCAAUCGAUAAGAUCUUCGUAGAAUAUGUAGGAUCCAAUAUGGGCAUCCAGGUCCCGCUAUUGGAUAUUGACCGAGGAGUCCCUCGGGUCAUGUCUACAUAGUUCUCGAACCC